CAUUGAUCUUCCAAAACUCAAAAGAUUCUGCAACUUCACUGGGAAUAUAAUUGAACUGCCUAUGUUGUGGAGUCUGACUAUUGAGAAUUGCCCUGAUAUGGAAACAUUCAUAUCCAACUCUGUAGUGCACGUGACAACAGAUAACAAGGAACCUCAAAAAUUAACAUCAGAAGAGAACUUCUUGCUGGCUCAUCAAGUACAACCUCUCUUCGAUGAAAAGGUGAUUAUUAUUGUUAUUAUUAAUUUUUCCCUUCACUUUCGUUCGCAUAGAUGUAAUUUCAUUAGAAUCAAAUCAAAUUUAAUGACUCAUCCUUUUGCAUGUCGUCUUAAUUUAUAUCUAAUUUAACAAUAUAACCGCAGUUAUUAACUAACUUUAUAGUAUGAAUUAUAAAAAUGUCUCAAAUUAAUUAGAUGCCUAGUGACAGGAGGUGAUGAACUAUAUCGAUGCGUGUUACAUCUCUGUUUUCCUAGCUAAUUCAUAUUGGAUUUAGCAUCAGAUUUCAUUUAUGUGUUUCAAAGGGUAAUCGAUUUGAUACUUAUAUUUGGGAUCCUACUGCAAAGCAUACUAAUUUGGAAAUAAAAUAUAAAAUGCUGUGAUUAAUCUUGUCCAUAAAAUAUGCAGGGGAAGACUGCAGAGAUUGGAUACAUAUUUUAAUUUACAACUUAAUUUUGUUGAUUUUCAGGUUGCAUUCCCUAAAUUGAGAUGGUUAGAGCUGUCUAGAUUACCCAAUGUGUUGCAUCUCUGGAAGGAAAAUGCCGAAUCCAACAAAGUGUUUGCAAACUUGAAAAGUCUAGAAAUAUUUUAAUGUAGUAAGUUGCAGAAAUUAGUACCAGCUUCGUGGCAUUUGGAAAAUCUUGCGACUCUGGAAGUAUCGAAGUGUCAUGGGUUGAUAAAUUUAUUGACGCUCUCAACAUCUGAAAGUCUAGUGAAUCUUGAAAGAAUGAAGAUAACUGAUUGCAAAAUGAUGGAAGAAAUUAUACAGUCGCAGGUUGGAGAAGAAGCGGAAGAUUGCAUUGUUUUCAGGAAAUUGGAGUACUUGGGACUUGAUUGUUUGCCAAGCCUAACAAGCUUUUGUUUGGGUAAUUACGCUCUUGAGUUCCCGUCCUUGGAACAAGUAGUUGUGAGACAGUGUCCAAAAAUGAAGAUCUUCUCUCAAGGAGUCUUAGACACACCAAUGCUAAACAAAGUGAACGUCACCGAAGAAGAAAAAGAUGAUGAUGAAGGAUGUUGGGAAGGCAACCUCAAUGACACCAUAAAAAAAUUGUUCAAUGAAAUGGUGAGUAUCAAUUAAGUUUCGGUGCUAUUUAGCAAAUUAUUUUAUAGAAACUAAUGUGAUAUAAUAUGAUUGGUUGACUGAAAAUAUAUAAUAAUAAUAAUAAAUAAAUAAAUAAAUUAUGAGGGCCAUGUAAUGUCAAAAGCAGCCAUCCAUCUAGAUGGUCAACAUUCAAAGAAGAGAAAUUUUGCAGCAAGUUGGAAAGGAAAAGGAGCACACGGGCUUGGCAUUUAAAAGAAGAAGUUGGCAACUACUUUGAAAUAUAUACAUAUAUAUAUUAAUUUAAUAGCCAUUUUUUGGCUAUAAAAUGAAGAGCUUCCUCAUUCAUUUUCAUUCAAUUCCAUCGAGAGAAAUCUUUCUUUCUUUGAGUGUUGAGAGUUUUCAAGAGUUUAAUAAACUCUUGAGUGUCUAGUGAGUGAGAGAUUGGGUGUAUUGGGGUUUUGGGUAGUGAGCUAAAAUCUUACAAUACUUGUAAUCCUUAUUUCACUAGUAAAAUAUUUUCUUCUGUCUUCGCCCGUGGAUGUAGGCUAAAAGCCGAACCACGUAAUUUUUCGGUGUCCUCUAUUGUGCUUGUUCUUUAUUUUAUUUUCAAUUUUAUUUUAGCUGCGGUCCUGCUGCACCCACUAAAUUACUAACAGUGGUAUCAGAGCCAUUGGUUGUAUUUUUGGAGUCGGGAAUUGUUCACGUAUUCACGUAUACGGCGUACGGCACUAUUCACGUAUACGGUGUACGGCACUAUUCACGUAUACGGCAUACGGCACUAUUCACGUAUACGGCGUACGACACUAUUCACGUAUACGGUACUAUUCACGUGAAAACGGUGGAAGCGAUCCAAGAAUUUUGCGGUGCAAAGCAGGGAAUAGUGGUGUGAGUAAAGCAACUGUGUGGUUCUGUACAUGUCUAGGAAAGUUUUGUCACAAAGGCGAUAAGAGCCUAAGGAGUCUGGGUUUUAAGUGGGACCAUUGUGACCCCUCCAGUCUUUCCUGGGAACUUUCCUGGUGCGCAUUCUCACACAUACUCACAACUAUUCAAGGUGGUACACUAGCUUGUGUGCAGUAUUAUCAACAAAAUGGCGGCAAAGUAUGAAAUUGAGAAGUUUAACGGAAAUAAUUUUUCGUUGUGGAAAAUGAAGAUGAAAGCUGUAUUGAGGAAAAAUAAUUGUUUGGCAGCAAUUGGAGAAGGGCCUAUGGAGAUAACUGAUGACAAGUGGAACGAGGUAGACGGCAACGCUAUUUCUGAUCUACACUUGGCACUUGCGGAUGGAGUAUUAUCCAGUGUGGCAGAGAAAAAUACGGCGAAGGAAAUUUGGGAUACUCUCACAAAAUUGUACGAGGCCAAGUCACUACACAACAAAAUCUUCUUGAAGAGAAAACUCUAUACUCUUCGAAUGGCGGAAUCUACAAUGGUGACCGACCACAUCAACACAUUGAAGACUCUAUUUUCACAACUCACAACGUUGGGUCAUAAUAUAGAGGAAAAUGAACGUGCAGAGCUUCUACUUCAAAGUCUACCAGAUUCGUAUGAUCAACUCAUCAUCAACCUGACGAACAACAAUCCAGUGGAGGGUCUAGUUUUCGACGAUGUUGCAGCCUCCGUAUUAAAUGAGGAGAGCAGGCGGAAAAAUAAGGAAAACAGACAAGCAAGUUCGCAGCAAGCAGAAGCGCUAUCGGUGAUGAGAGGGAGAUCAACGAAACGUGGCCCCAGUGGGAGUCAAAAUCAGGGUAGAUCAAAAUCCAGAAGUAAGAAGAAUGUUAAAUGCUAUAAAUGUGGCAAGAAAGGGCACGUCAAGAAAGAAUGUUGGAGUAACCAGAAGAGAAAAGAGGGCAAAGAACCUGAGUCAUCAAAUGCUCAGGGUUGUGUAGCAAGUACCUCGGAUGAUGGCGAAAUUCUUUACAGCGAGGCAACAACUAUUUUAGAAGGCAGGAAACGACUUUCUGAUGUCUGGCUUAUAGACUCAGGAGCUACCUGGCACAUGACCUCUAGGAGAGAAUGGUUCCACACAUAUGAACCUAUCUCAGGAGGAUCUGUAUAUAUGGGAGAUGAUCAUGCCUUGGAGAUCGCUGGUAUUGGUACUAUCAAAAUAAAAAUGUUUGAUGGGACAAUUCGCACAAUUGGAGAGGUACGACAUGUCAACGGCCUGAAGAAAAAUCUAUUGUCUUUGGGACAAAUGGAUAGUCAUGGGUACAAAACUCAUGUGGAGAAUGGAAUUAUGAAGAUCGUUAAAGGCGCGCUUGUAUUGAUGAAGGCAGAAAAGAUCGGUGCUAAUCUAUUCAUGCUUAAAGGAGAAACACUACAGGAGGCUGAUGCGUGUGUCGCGUCAAAUGGAGAAGAGUCAACGAUGAUGUGGCAUCUCAAACUUGGCCACAUGUCAGAACAAGGCUUGAAGAUUCUCUCUGAGCGAAAAUUGCUUCCGAGGCUCAAAUCGGUAAGUUUACCAUUUUGCGAGCAUUGUGUUACAAGUAAGCAGCAUAGAUUAAAAUUCAGUAGAUCUAUUGCUAGAAGUAAAUGCAUUCUAGACUUGAUUCAUUCUGAUGUUUGGGAAUCACCGGAUAUAUCCAUGGGAGGUGCAAAGUACAUGGUGACUUUCAUUGAUGAUUAUUCCAGAAGAUGCUGGGUGUAUCCACUUAAGAAAAAGUCAGAUGUAUUUCUAGUGUUUAAAGAAUACAAAGCGCGGGUGGAACUUGAAUCUGGUAAAAAGAUCAAGUGCUUGAGGACAGAUAAUGGUGAAGAAUAUACAGACGGCGAGUUUCUUGCUUUAUGUAAGCAAGAAGGUAUUCAGAGGCAGUUCACAGUGGCAUACACUCCUCAACAAAACGGAGUAGCGGAGCGGAUGAACAGAACUCUUACAGAAAGAAUAAGAGCUAUGUUGAGGACUGCUGGUUUACCCAAUUCAUUCUGGGCAGAAGCAGCCAAAACCGCCUGUUAUAUAGUAAAUCGGUCGCCAUCUACAGCUAUUGGGUUGAAGACAGCGAUGGAGAUGUGGACUGGAAAGCCAGCUGAUUAUUCCUACCUACAUGCAUUUGGAUGUCCUGUGUACGUGAUGUAUAAUGCCCAAGAAAGAACAAAGCUGGAUGCAAAAUCUAGAAGAUGUAUCUUCUUGGGGUAUGCUGAUGGAGUAAAGGGGUAUCGUCUGUGGGACCCCACUGCCCACAAGAUCGUCAUCAGCAGAGAUGUUAUCUUUGUAGAAGAUCAACUAUAAAGAAAAGAUGGAGAUGAUGGCACUGUAAAAGAAAAGUCAGAGACUGUACCAGUAUAUGUCGAAAAUAAUCUAGAAGAUUCAGAUUCUUCUGAAGCAGCACCAGAGCACGAUGGACAAGAACCAGUCGAGUUCGAGGCUCCAGAAGUUCGUCGGUCAACUCGUGAGAGACGACCGCCGGCGUGGCACUCGGAGUAUGUCAUAGAGAUCAACGUUGCAUACUGUCUUCUAACAGAGGAUGGAGAGCCUUCAACUUUCCAUGAAGCUUUAAACAGUUUAGAUGUUGCUUUGUGGAUGACAGCAAUGCAGGAAGAAAUUGAAGCUCUACACAAGAACAAGACAUGGGAACUUGUACCACUACCACACGGAAGAAAAGCCAUUGGAAACAAAUGGGUCUACAAGAUCAAACGUGAUGGCAAUGACCAAGUGGAGCGGUAUCGUGCAAGAUUGGUGGUGAAAGGAUAUGCUCAGAAAGAAGGUAUUGACUUCAACGAGAUAUUUUCUCCAGUGGUUCGACUCACAACAGUCAGAAUAGUCUUGGCGAUGUGUGCUACAUUUGAUCUACAUCUUGAGCAGUUAGAUGUGAAAACUGCAUUUCUUCAUGGAGAACUUGAAGAAGAAAUAUAUAUGCUCCAACCAGAAGGUUUUGCAGAAACAGGAAAGGAGAACUUGGUUUGCAGGUUGAACAAAUCUCUAUACGGUCUCAAACAGGCGCCGAGGUGUUGGUAUAAGAGAUUUGAUUCCUUCAUAAUGAGCCUUGGAUACAACAGACUCAGUUCAGACCAUUUUGCAUAUUAUAAGAGGUUUGAAGAUAAUGAUUUCAUUAUUUUGCUGUUGUAUGUGGAUGACAUGUUGGUAGCAGGUCCCAACAAAGAUCGAAUCCAAGAAUUGAAGGCACAGUUGGCUAAGGAGUUUGAAAUGAAGGACUUGGGACCAGCAAACAAGAUUCUAGGGAUGCAAAUUCACCGAGACAGAAAUAACAGGAAGAUUUGGCUUUCACAGAAGAAUUACUUAAAGAAAAUCUUGCGACGCUUCAACAUGCAAGAUUGUAAGUCAAUUUCUACCCCACUUCCUAUUAAUUUCAAAUUAUCCUCAAGUAUGUGUCCUAGCAAUGAAGCAGAGAGAAAGGAGAUGUCUCGAGUUCCUUAUGCAUCAGCAGUGGGAAGUUUAAUGUUCGCUAUGAUAUGUACAAAACCGGACAUUGCACAAGCAGUGGGAGCAGUCAGUCGAUAUAUGGCGAAUCCUGGUGGAGAGCAUUGGAUAGCUGUGAAGAGGAUUCUGAGAUACAUCAGAGGAACCUCAGAUGUUGUAUUAUGUUAUGGAGGAUCAGAGUUUACUGUCAGGGGCUAUGUGGAUUCAGAUUUUGCAGGAGAUCUUGAUAAAAGGAAAUCCACUACUGGUUAUGUGUUUACACUUGCGGGAGCAGCUGUAAGCUGGGUUUCAAAACUGCAGACCGUUGUGGCUUUAUCUACAACAGAAGCAGAAUACAUGGCAGCUACACAAGCUUGCAAGGAAGCUAUUUGGAUACAAAGAUUAUUGGAGGAGCUCAGGCACAAACAACAGAAAAUUCCUGUGUUUUGUGACAGUCAAAGUGCCUUGCACAUUGCAAGGAAUCCAGCCUUUCAUUCCAGGACAAAGCACAUAGGAGUUCAGUAUCACUUUGUUCGUGAAGUAGUGGAAGAUGGAAGUGUGGAUUUACAGAAAAUCCAUACUAAAGAGAACCUAGCAGAUGUUUUGACCAAGCCGAUAAAUACUCAUAAGUUUAUCUGGAGUAGAUCCUCUUGUGGCCUAGCAGAAACGUAGGCAACAUGAUUAUGGCGAAGCAGAAAGGAUGGUGUGGAGAUUGAUUGAUUCUCCAUCAAAGCUCCAAGUGGGAGAAAUGUCAAAAGCAGCCAUCCAUCUAGAUGGUCAACAUUCAAAGAAGAGAAAUUUUGCAGCAAGUUGGAAAGGAAAAGGAGCACAUGGGCUUGGCAUUUAAAAGAAGAAGUUGGCAACUACUUUGAAAUAUAUACAUAUAUAUAUUAAUUUAAUAGCCAUUUUUUGGCUAUAAAAGGAAGAGCUUCCUCAUUCAUUUUCAUUCAAUUCCAUCGAGAGAAAUCUUUCUUUCUUUGAGUGUUGAGAGUUUUCAAGAGUUUAAUAAACUCUUGAGUGUCUAGUGAGUGAGAGAUUGGGUGUAUUGGGGUUUUGGGUAGUGAGCUAAAAUCUUACAAUACUUGUAAUCCUUAUUUCACUAGUAAAAUAUUUUCUUCUGUCUUCGCCCGUGGAUGUAGGCUAAAAGCCGAACCACGUAAUUUUUCGGUGUCCUCUAUUGUGCUUGUUCUUUAUUUUAUUUUCAAUUUUAUUUUAGUUGCGGUCCUGCUGCACCCACUAAAUUACUAACAUGUAAUUUUUUUAUUUAACCAAUCAUAUUAUGUCGCAUUAGUUUAUACAGUAUUGUUUGUGCACAAGAGGUGGUGGUCAUAUCAUUACUCUAGCUUUAUUAUUCUUAUGGUGGCAAUGUAUGCUGGCUUACACGAGUAAUUACAAAAUCUGCAGAAUUCUAAAGAAGAGAUUGAGCCAACCCUUCAGCUACAGUGAAGAAGCUAUCCCGAACCAGGCCAAUCUCCUAUACAUGAUUUAGCUUGCUCGUUCUUCUGUACUUGAAUAAUUUGGUUCUACAUAUUUACAAUUUUUUGCUCAUGCUACAAACUUGCAAGACACUUUGGAUUUUGUUUGAUGCAUUCUUUGUUUAAGAAAGGACUUGAAUUGAUGUUUCAUGUUUCAUACAAUAUUCGAUUAGAUUCUGCCUAAAUUUCUGUAUUAUUCGUUCAAUUGGUCUUUUAAGCAUUUGAUUUCUAACCUCUCCUGAUAGAAGAUCAUUAGCCGAAGAAAACAGCAUAACAUUUGUGGCAUUAUCAGAAUAAGAAUAUUUUUUAGUAUAGUAAAAUUAUCUCGACCACUGUUAAAAAGAAUUAAUCAGUCAAACUGACCUUCUCACACCAGCACGCUUUAAAUUAAAAGAAUUUCGUGAAAUCAAGACCAUGUUAUAGAUCUCGUGGAAAGAAGUAAACCCGUAAUUUUUUUCACAGCAUCAUAAGAAAAAUCAUUUUUUUAAAGUAUUUUUGUUAGCUGUUGAGUUUUAAUAGUAGUAGCUAUUAAAUAAUAACAAUUAGUGUAUAUUAAAAAGUUGGAAACUGGUUGAUACCACUCGGGAAUCGAGCAGUUCACUUGUUUGCGAGUAGAAACCAACUUUACUACUAAUUGCCUUGUGACAAAAUAAAAUACCAUACUAUAAUGUGUUGAACCAGGAACCUGCAGAUGCUUAGGUUACAACUAUACAACCUCCCAAUACAAUAAGUUUGAAACUUAAUACCUUCUGAAAUGAAACAAACUUACUUGAAGAUUAAAGAUCAGUGAGAAAAGCCCUUUUUCAGAAGCAACCUACAUUUUUUAGAAGAGGGUCAGUGUGUUAUAGAUUCAAUGAACCAUGAGAAGUUAUUUACAUUAUAGUAUCUCACAGGCAGUAUUUUCUCCUAAUGCAUCAAUGGUAAAGGAAAAAUAAAAAGAAAAGAAUAGUUACUUGUGCAGCACAGCCUUUACGCCUAGCUACAUGGUCCAUUCUCUGUCUUUGAACCAAUCAACAGCAACAAGUUCCAUUAAAUGUUUUCCUGCAGGUAUCUGCAGUUACAAAUUGCACAAAGCACAAGAAGAGCCAACCAAACUACAUCAUAACCUGUCUACCUAGCCUAUGCAGGAUAUAUAAAUACCAUAAAUAAGUACCAUAAAUAACAAAUAAACAACAUAUGGGGGAACCUUUGUUUUGUCAUAACAAAAAUGCUUGCUACGAACUCUAAAGUUAUUUCCAUCAGAAAGUUUCCAGCAGUCACGAGCAUUAUCAUGGUCAUCGUGUCGUAGAUUGCCCGAAAAACAAGACAAAUCAAUUUGAUCAGCCUGCUCUUCCUCUAGGGCUGCAACUAAUUGAAAAUUAAAAAAAAAAAAAAAAAGAUCAAUACCAUAAAAAUCCACUAAUGCGGACAUUAGCCAAAUAUACAAAAAUGAAUACUUAUCAUCCACCUGUCCUCUUGAAAUCAUUCUCAAUCUUUUUUUCAUUUGCCUGAAAUCCCAAGGAAAAAUAUGUAACGAAUACUUCCCAUUCAUGACUAUAGUCUGUUGUAUAAACAUGACAUAUUUAAUUGGAAUAAUAAAAUUAUUUAAUUAUUUUAAUUAAAUGUUAAUCCUACAAAUUAUUUUUGUUAAAUCUAGCAAGAAUAACUAAAAUUUCUUUAAGAUAUAUUUUGGUAGUAAAUUAAAAAAAUUUAAUUAUUUGGCAGGAAUUAUUGAAAUUGGAGCCAUUUUUUUUGUGGGAAUUGAAAUAUAUUCUUUAAAUUAUUAUAUAAAUAGCAAAAUGUACAUACACACACAUAUAUAUAAUUCAUAUAUAAAAAUUCUCUAAUUUGUUCACAAGUAUCAUAGAUUAUAAUUCAGUUAUGAAAUAAAAUAACUACAAUAAUUAUAGUUAAAUGAAUACUUCAUUAAUUCUUAAUUUGCUUCCUAACAUUAAAUGAACAACUUGAGUCAGCCACCUGAAUUAACCAGUAACAACGCCUGAGUCAACCAUCUGAAUAAACCAGCAACCCUAGCUGAUUCAAGCACCUGCAAUUAACAUCAGCACAACAGGAACAAUCUUAAAUCAACACCAAGAACAGACCAAACUGCCAUCAAAUGUCACAAAACCAAACAGUCUGCUACUGCCAUCAAAUGCAAGCAAACAUAUGCAACAAAACCAGAUGCAAGUGAAAUUCUGGAGAACAUCGGAUAAACCAAACCAAAUGCCACACUUCUAGUAAUUAGACUAGAUGCAUUGUUCAAUUAAACUAAAUGUAGUCUCAUAUUACAUUCAAAAUUUCUAAAAAAGGCAGUGUUCCAUCAGAGAAGCACCAAAACCAAACCAAUCUAAUCCAGCAUAAUUACCAGCUCAACCCAAAACAAUUACACAUUAUAUUGACAUAUCAAAAUUCGCUAUCAAAACAUAGCCAAAUAAAUGACAAUAAACUCAAAACAGACCCAAACCAACUGAUGUUGCAGCCCUAGUAGUCGUUGUCCGUUCCACUGCCAUGGGAGUGAGGGUAGGCUCCGUUGUUGAUGAGUGAGUAAGAUAAGGCUCCAAAUCAAUAGUUCCACCUCCUUUCUGCAAUUCAAAAAACAGAAAUUCAUAUAUGUAAAACUAUUAAAAAGUGUGAAACAACCUGUAAGUAUUCAACUUCUGUCAACUCAAUAGUACUUACUAAAGUUUUUAUACAGAAGAAAAAGGCAUUUUAAGUCCAAAAAAUUAGAAUUAUUGGUUGAACUCCAACUCCAUCAAUCCAUGCAACCAUCCAAUCUUUAACGAAAAAAUGAAGCAUAAUUAACAAGACAUCUGAAUCAGAAAGAUUGUGCUUUCGUUUGGCACGAGGUGUUGGAAACAACUUAACAAAUCUAGACACAAUCUAUAACCAUCAAGUCCAAACAAAAGUCAGGAUCUAAAAUACUUUGAAAAAUCAGAAAAACAGCAAAAUAUCAGUUUCAAUUUCUUUUUCAUCCAUUGUAAGCUCAAACUAAAGGUAGCCGCGCUACCUUUAAACAUCAUUUGGGCUUGUACAUGUGACAUUUGCUCAUGAACAACUAAAGUUGAAUAAGAUUUUUAUAUGAAACAGAAUAUAAAAAGUCAAAGUAGAAUAUGACAGGAGCUACAAUAUAUUAUUCAGCAUUAGCAUUAUGUAUAAAAUAAAUUUAGACGCAUUAUAUUGAUUCACAAUCUUGCAGAGGUAAUACCAGAUUAUGGCACGCAACUCUUAUAUAGCAGAUAAAGGAGGAGAUGCAGUGGGAAGGUAGUAUCUUGCUUGCAUGAGGAUUAGAAAGCAAUAGCCCAAGAUCAAUUAUAGAUCUCAUAAAACAAAAACAGUGAGGCAAACACAAUUAUUGUGAACAAUUAUUCAUAGAACCACAUACCAGCAACAAGAUCAGAGUCAUCUGUGUAUAUAUCGAUUCCCCAUAGCUGACUGCCUCUGACCUAAACAUAAUGAACUUACAUAACUAAGAAGUAGAGUCAUAAAAUAUGCAGCUGUAACAGCUAUCAAUAAAUUUCCAGACAAAUGGAAUUUGAUCUGUAAGGCUAUAACUAGCAACACUUCAAAAUAAUUUGAAGUAGCAUGAUCUUACUUUAAGGAUCAAUACUACAAUCUUUCAGAAAAAUUAAAGUCUAAGCAAAAUUAAAACCUUAAACAUACUAAAAUCUGGUAAAUAGACCUACAGGAAUUCCAAUGACCUCCAAAAUAUUUGAAAGAAAAAUUAAUUUACAGCAAAAAAUGUUAAAAGAUUUGUAAAAUGGAAGCCCAUACUACUAUUCAAAUUACAAAUGAGGAAAGGGAGCUGGCCAUUAAAUGAUAAAGGCAUGCAUAAAGAAAUACAAAUAAUAUGCCCAUAAAGACGUCCACUCAAGCGUUAUAAGCGGCUUUAUGCAAAGGAAAGCCAAUUAGUUAACAAUAAAUGAAUUUCAAGGUGCAAUAAUUAAACUCCCUGAUCAGCACAUAUAAGGUUCAUGCAUUUCUACAAAACAUGUAAAUCAUAAGAACUUUUUUGGUCCAAAUGCUAACCAAUAAUUAAGUAGAUUAUCAAAGUUGUCACAGAACAAGCACCACAUUGAUUGCUAUGCAAAAGAUGAAAGUAAAAGUUAAUACUUUAUUUUAUUUUACUUUUCGAGAGUUUUGAUCAUCAUGUGCAAAAUAGUAGUAUAACUUGCUCAGUGUUAUCUCAAAAAGCUUGCUUAAAAUACCUAUUAGCACCAGUCCAAGUAGUCAAAUAAAUCCUUAUCUAUCCAUUCAUCUCUGACCUUGCCAAAAAGAUUUAAAUGAGCAUCUAUAUUCUCACUCCAAUCUUUCACAAUCAUGGGCUUUAUCUUUAGACCAGUUCUUCAAUAUCCCUUCCACUGUGAGCCCCUCGAAAACCUUGUAAAUUGAAUCACAUUUGUCGUCAGUUUCAAAUCCAUGUGUCAAAAGGCUAAGCAAAUGAAUAUACAAUCAACACCAUUCUUCCAAACGAAUAUACAGUCAACACCAUUCUUCCAAACGAAUAUACAGUCAACACCAUUCUUCCAAACACAAACAAAGUUUGAACGUAUGACAGAUUUUUAGCCAUUUAAUAUUCCAUCAAAGAUAAUUAGAUAACACCUACCAAGGAUUUUUGAAAAGAAUGCAUUCUCAUCUUAAGCAGCAACCUCACCAGUAACACAUUUUCAUACCCUGUUUCCACCUCUGGUCGCACCACCAAAAAAAAAUCAGUACUAAUUAGCUUCAACAGAGUCUAUUUUUUUAUUUCUUUUUUUUUUCAAAAUAAACCUCCAUUCUUAUACAUAAAAUUAAAAUAUCAAUUAAAUAAAAAAAGUCUAUGCUUACUAGUAAAACACGUCCAUUUUCAGGUAGAGGCAGAUAAUAAAAGAAAAUUGAUACUGAGAUAAAAUAAGAAGAGCUUACUAUGUGCAUUUGAUCAACAAUCCAAUCCUUAAUGAUGGAAUCGAUGCUAUCAAAUAAACGUGACUUAAUCUUGAAACAUUAAACUGCACUAAGCAUAGCACCAAAGCCAGAGCGUGACUAUAAAGAAGAAAAAGAAGAAUUAAAUCAACAUGAAAUUGAACUUUUGUUUUAUCUUCCACAAGCAAGAAAUUCAACUGGAACAAUACAAAAUAUGAAAUUUUUAGCAAUCUUACUAGCAUUAUACACAAAUCUCAAUUCACGACAAAUAGGGGAAUGAAUCACUAACAUCACCCAAUUCAUAUAUUCAAAUAAUGUAUCCCCACUCCUAACAAGCAACGUGCUACCACAGUCGAUUAGUUGUUAGGGUUAAGGCUCACCAUAGAGAACUGGAUGGCGCUAACUAAAUGACACGUUGAAACGGCAUCUGCAAUCGUAUUGAAUGACAUUGAACUUUUUCAGCUUCGUCGGUUGCGAAUGUGAGACCUUGGCUUAGGGUUCUAUACAGUGUUGUUGAUGCUUAAAUCUGCUCGCCUUUUGACCGACCAGAUUCUUUCACCAACAUUUGUGUUGUCAACUGCUGCUCGGACCACUGGGGUUGGAAUUGCCCUCCUUCCUCUUACUAGACCUGCGUUCACCAAAAAUGGAUCAGAGACGCCGGUGGUUUUGCCGGCGUAAACCCUCCGAUGCCUAAGUUAGCACAAGGUAUUUACGGGAAAACGGUGUAAUUUGGAUUCAAGAAGGGCUUAUAACUUGUUUCGAAGUUUGUAAGGAAAAGGCAUGAUUGCAAUUUGGCAGCGUUUUCCCUCUCUUCAUUUUUUUUGUCCUUUUCUUCAUCGAUUUCUUCUCCUUUUAUAGCCGUUGUCCCAUGUUCCCGUUUGGCUUUCAUCCCUCUUUUUUCGGAUGGUGGCAGCCCCUCAACGGACUCUAACUGCUACAUCAUGGGCAAACGUGGGGUCUCGCAUUACUCGCAACGGUUCUGGGAGAAGCGUAACUACCAUGAUUCUGUGGGAUCGUGUUCCCGCUUUUUCGGGGGAUGGGUAUCGGCUCGGUAUAUACCUCUGGUCGGUAUACUCCCCUGGUUGUACUCGUCUCUGGUCGGACCAUACUUGUCCCUGUGUUCUGCUCGUACCAUUUGGUUAAGGUGAUCCAUGCCGGCAUGGAAAUAGAAGCAUGGCCGACCUGGUGCGUAGCAUGGCCGACCUGGUGCUUUUAUUUACUUAACACCAGUCCCCCAGUUUCUGGUCUUGCGAGUAAAAUGAGUUAAGAGUAGAAACUGAUGGUUGAAUCUUACCAGCCCGGGGCUUCUCAUCUGGUCUUCUGUCAUUCCGGGACGGACCUGAGGUACCAUUCUUGUUCUGGGGGGAUUCUGACCUGAGCAUGGGCCUUAAUAAGCAUGUCCAUUGCAUAUAUGGACUUGCAUCUAGCCUGGCCUCUUGUAACGGUUAGUGACGUGGCGCUUCUCGACUCUUCGUAUUUGAAAUUUGAAACGACGGGCUAUCCGUCCUCGAUAUAUGGGGGGUGAGCUGGCAUAUCCCAUCACUUAAACGCUUCCAUUUCCCCCUUUUCGUUUCAAAUCCCUAGACUGGAGUCAUCAUCAUCUUGUUAUUCGUUUCUCCGCCGUUAAUCAAAUUUUUCUCUGAACUUUGCUCACACUUCCAGCGUCCAGAGUAUCCAUUUGGUGGGUGUUUUCUCUGUCACGGCAGCGCUAUCAGUGUCAGUCUAUUCCAGGUAUAGCCUUUAACCUCUUCUUUGGCUGUUGUUGAUUGGGUUCUGUGUUGCCCCUUUUUGUAUUCGUGUACUUGGGUUUGUUUUGGUUUCCUUUUGGGAUUCCGGUAUGUCGAAUCGGAGAAGGCAGUUGAUUGUAGAUGAGGGUGACGAAGGAACAGAGGAUUCACGCCUUAAUGUUUCAAUACCCACUGAAUUUUUACAUCCCUCUAGUACUGUAGGCUUCUCCCAUGGGAGGGAUACCCUUGAGUACCCACGUCCCUUGUCCAUUUCAUCUUCCCCUGAGCUAGGGCUUGUAGGAAAUAGAGGGGGACCUGCGUCGGGCUCUGGUGAGAACCACAGUUCUGGUGGGGUUGGGGUCCUUGAAGAAGUGGGUAAUAGUGAGGGAAGCAGCUCCGAGCCGAGCCGACCUCCUAAGAAAAGAAACCUUGGGCAUAGGGUGGAGGCGAAUUCUUACCCUAUCGACCAUAUAGCCUGUGCCACCACCCAAACUGACCUGUUCAAGCUUAGGAACCUCUACAACAUUCCUAAGGAGGUUCUUCUUGUAGUUCCUAGGAAGGGUGAUGUUCCUAGUCGGCCUCUGCGGGGGUAUGUGACGAUGCACCUGGAGAGUUUCAAACUAGUAGCUCGGCUGCCCCUUCAGCGUUAUUAUGCCAAGAUAUUGGGGGCCAUGCACCUGGCCCCAGGUCAGCUACACCCAAACGGGUGGAGGGUCCUCUCGGCUAUGUUUGUGUUGUGGGAGAGAUGCGGGUCGGAGGAGCCUUCCCUUGUUGAAGUGAAGCAUUUGUAUCAGCUGCGGAGCAGCCCAAGGGAGGCAGGCUGGUACUACUUCAUGUCCAGUUCUGCGAAGAGAAAGCCCAUUACCGGUUUCCCCUCCUCGUGCAAAAAUUGGAAGAACAAAUUCUUAUUUGCUGGGGGAAAUUGAUGUUCAGCAGUCCGUUCGUUGGGUGGUGAUAUUUACCUUCCAACGCAAUUUGUCACCCCAGGUCGUUCAUUUUUUGCCUGUAUCCUUUCUCGAAUUGCCACUUAUUGGGUUCUUUAACCUUGUUUGUUUUUUCAGAAUCGUGGGGUUUGGUUAAGGAUCUCGAAGACCGGCCUUUGCUUCAGGUGGAAACUGCUCUGGUGAACGCGUCUACUUGUCAAGACCUCCUGUCACCAACAAGCUUGGUCGGUUCGGGCUUAGUAGAUAUUGCCGCAGGAAUGGAUAACAAGAUCCUUAACGCGAUGAGCAGAAAACGUGGUCGGGCUCCGAGUAGCUCCAGCAACCCUCCUCCUCCUCCAAAGAAACCCAGCGUCGGUCCUUCCAAGGCGCCUGUUCCUGCUCUGCCCCCUCCUCCACCUCGUAAGAGUGGUGGGGAGAAAACCUCCGACAAGAGUCCUGAGGUCAGCUUGCAGUCAGGGGACCGAUCUUCUCCUCUUCCAUCUCGGGAUCAAGGUGACUACCUGAGCCCUUAUCAGAAGGAUUAUAAAAAAUCGGUUGGGCCCAAGAUGGUGAAGGACAUCGAGAGCAUGAACCUCUCUGAGUUAGCUGCUUCUGUUCAAAGAGUCUCAUUCAGGCUGGCCACAAUGGUCUCGUGCUACAAGACCGGAUCCGCGCGCCAUGAGAAGAAGCUUCAAGCUGACAAUCAGGAGUUGAAGAAGAAAGAUGAAUCUGCUGACCGCUCCAAGGAGAAACUGGCCGAGUUGAACAAGCAGAUUACGGAGCUGGAGGAGAAAAUUGCAGUUGCUGAGUCCACUGCCUCCAAGUUUGAGGGUGAGCUGGGUGGCCUGAAGUCGGACCUUCAGGUAGCUCAAAGUGAAAGAGAUACUUUGAGGACCGCCCUUGAGGGAAAAAUCAAAUCCCUGAACGAGCAGCUGGCUGAGGGGAAAGGUAAAUCCGCCGAUGUGGACGAUCGGUUGGAUGCCGAGUAUGACUCGGGGGUUGCUUUCUCCUAUAAGUGCAUUAUGUCUGUGCUUCAGGGAGAAUAUCCCGAGCUGGACAUGAGCAAGUUGGAGGCUGGAGUGCAGCGAUAUAUGGCAGAGGUCGGUCAGGCGAACAAGGAGCAGGGUGAGCAGGAUCAGGUGGAGGCUCCUUUUGAUGGGAUGCAAGAGGGGGAAGCUGGGGGACGCACUUUCGAAGUGGGUCAAGGGUCCAUGCCUCCUCCUCCCGGUAUUGCUGAUCUCCCACCUCCUGAUGUUGCUGAUCCCUUACUUCCCGAGCUCGCUGAUCCUUCGGCUGCUGGAACCGUUGACUCUGCUAAGCUUUGAGCCUAUUUUUGUAUAAACUCUAGAUUUGCAUUUGUUUUGUAAACAAUUGAACAUUUAUAAAUUUUUAGAUGCUCUUUAUUUGCUUUCUUGCCCGGUUUUUGCUCAUAGAUUGUUUCUGAAAAACAAUUGGACAACUUAUCUGAUUUUGCCUGCUGGUUCUUUAGUGAGCCGAGCAGGAGUAGGCAUUUGUUUGCCUUAGUAAGAUUUCCAUAAAAUUGGUUACUAGUCUUUAUUGACCGAGCAGAAUUAGGCACUUACUUGCCUUAGUAGGAUUUUUGUAGGAUUAGCUGCUGGUCUUUCUUUGACCGAGCAGAGGUAGGCACUUAUUUGCCUUAGUAGAAUUUUCGUAGAUUAGCUGCUGGUCUUUCGUUGACCGAGCAGAUGCGGGCACUUACUUGCCUUGGUAAGAUUUUCGUAGGAUUAGCUACUGGUCUUUCUUUGACCGAGCAGAGGUAGGCACUUAUUUGCCUUAGUAAAAUUUUCGUAGAUUAGCUGCUGGUCUUUCGUUGACCGAGCAGAUGCGGACACUUACUUGCCUUGGUAAGAUUUUCGUAGGAUUAGCUGCUGGUCUUUCUUUGACCGAGCAGAGGUAGGCACUUAUUUGCCUUAGUAGAAUUUUCGUAGAUUAGCUGCUGGUCUUUCGUUGACCGAGCAGAUGCGGGCACUUACUUGCCUUGGUAAAAUCUUCGUAAAUUUAGCUGCUGGUUUUUCGUUGACCGAGCAGAAGUAGGCACUUGCCUUAGUAAAAUCUUCGUAAAUUUAGCUGCUGGUCUUUCGUUGACCGAGCAGAAGUAGGCACUUGCCUUAGUAAAAUCUUCUUAAAUUUAGCUGCUGGUUUUUCGUUGACCGAGCAGAAGUAGGCACUUACUUGUCUUAGUAGAUCUUUUUAAUGGACUUAUUGGCCAGGGGAUUUCAUGCUGAAUUCAUCUUUAUUGAACUUUGAAUGCGUUACAGAAAUACAGAAUAUAUGCAUAUGCAACAAGCCAUCAUGCGUUUGAAAGGAAUAACUUAUCAAAAUGAAAAUUAAUAGGGCACUUUGCUUACUGGAAGUACUUUUUCAAGUGCUCGGCGUUCCACGACCUCUUCACCUCUCGUCCGUCUGGAUACGCCAGCUUGUAGGCUCCCGGUCCAGUUGCUCGUAUCACCCUGUACGGGCCUUCCCAUUUCGGGCCAAGAGCUCCAUGGUUGGGAUCCCUGGUGUUUUGGUUCACCUUCCUAAGCACCCAAUCUUCUGUUCGGAACUGCCUCACGCGUACGUUUUUGUUGUAAUAACGCGUGACCCUUUGCUGACAUUGGACCACCUUCUGCGAAGCCCGUUCCCUUUUCUCCUCCAGCAGGUCCAGGCUCAAGCAGAUCUGCUCGCCAUUUAUUGCUUCGCCCAAUUCUGAUCCGACCUUAACCACUCUGCUAGGGUCACUCCUGCUUACAACAACUUCCUCCAGCUUCUCAACAGGUUCUUGGCGACCGUUUUUUGAAUCCCCUCGGUUAUCUAGAGAGGUAACUUGCAGUGUUUCCUUGGCCGCUGUAGCAUAGCAGCUCCUGGCCAUUCUCUGGUCGCCCUUUACUACACCCACAACUCCAUUUAUUCUGUAUUUCAGUGCCAGAUAAUGUGUGGACAUUACACAUUGGCUUAUUCUCAUGAACGGUCUCCCCAAUAUCAUCUGGUAAGGACUUCUUUCCUCUACCACGACAAAGUCUAGCAUCAUCGUUCUUUCAAAUGGCUUUGUCCCCACAGUAAUCGGGAGUUCAAUGACCCCCAUGGGAGUUAAUCGUCCCCCUCCAAACCCCUUCAAGGAUGUGUUCGUCCGCUCCAGCUUUAAGUCUGAAAUCCCCAUAUCAUCUAGGGCCGACUUAAACAGAAUAUCGACUGAGCUGCCCGUGUCCACCAGUAUUCGCCUUACUUCUGUACUAGCUACCAACGCUUUAAUCACCAGUGCAUCCUCAUAAGGAUACAAAAUGCCCUCUUCGUCAUCCUCCGUCCACAUAAUGGGCACUUGCCGCACUCUUGCCUUCUUGGCUGCUGGCAAAUUUAGAAGCACCUCUUUGCCAGUCAUGGCGUACCUCCCAUAGUUCUUCCGUGCUCUAUUUGAAUCCCCGACCAAUGUUGGCCCUCCUGCUAUCACACGGAUGGUCGGCUGUUCACGUUCCAGAUCCCUCUCAACUCCUUCAUCCCGUGUGUACUGUGAUUCCAUGGCAGGGGACAUUCCAUCUACAUACUCGUCCAAGUAUCGGUUCCUCACUAAAUCCUCCACCUGAAUCUUCAGGUCACGACAUUGGCUGAUAGUGUGACCAUGAGUGUCGUGGAACUUGCAGAAUCUGCUCUUAUCCCGUCGAUGAGUCGGUUUUGUUAUUGGGGCUGGAAGGUACAGCAGGCCUCGUCCUUCGAUCCUCUCAUACAAUUUCUCCAUGGAGAUCUUUAAUGGAGUGUACUGUCUAUAUGCCAAGCUCUGGUCUACUAGCUGAACUGCUCGGCUAUCAUGAACGUCUCCUCGGGUUGGUAUAGCCGGUAGCUGCUCUAGUCGUCCAGACCUGUAAUUAGUUGCACUUAAUCCUCUGGGAGUGCUGUGAUAAGGGUAGGCAGCCAUCUGCCUGAAUUCUCGCUGUCGCUCUGGGAUCGGGGGGCGCAGAGGUUGAGCCCGGCUGUGUUGGAACUGUUGUGAUCUCGGAGCUAUGGGAUAAGGGCGGGACCGAGCUGAUGUUCCGCCCCUUACUGAGGACUCCCCAGCUCGCUUUCCCGACCCGCUCCCACUUGGAGUUCUUCUUUCCUUUCGUCUCAGCUCCUCCAACUGUUCACUCUUUAUCCUUGCCGAUUUUUCUUCUUCGAUUUCGAUGUCUCUCUUUGCCUGCUCAUACCCUGCUGAAUAACUCUGCACUAGGGGGCUCCUCAGGUUAUUCCAUAGCCGGCCUAUCCUCACACCCUCCUUUAAUCCCCUCAAUGCCUGCGGGUGAUUGAAAGCUCCCAAAUCAAGUACGGCUUGGUGGUAUCGCUUUACAAAAUCCCGUAGGGAUUCAUGCUCCUCCUGUUUUAUCCCCAUCAGUUCCAUCAUGUCAUCCUCUGGGGCUGCUGCUCCUCGGAACUGCUCGGCCAACUCCUGGCACAUCUGCUCAUACCCCUUUAUACUUCCUCGGGAUAGCUUGCGGUACCAUUCUCGGGCUCGUCCCUCUAGUGUCAACGGGAACACCCGGCACCUCUGAGCUGGUGUCAGCCCCUGCACACCCGUCAUGUCGUUGAAACGCUCGAUGUGCACCAGCGGGUCACUUCGCCCGGAGUAUUUGAGGUCGGGGAAGCGGAAAUCUCUUGGGAUUAUGAUACCCAUGAUCUCAGUUGAUAACGGAGAUUCUUCAUCUAGCAUUAUCCUCCAGCUCGGGGGCUUUCUCUUGCCCUGUUUCCUCGACUCUACGCCUCCAGAGGUUGGAUUCUGCUCCAACUUCAUCUCUUCCCACGGGGGUUUCACAAUCCCUUCUCCGCUCAUCCCUCAGCUCAAACAAUAUGGCCGCGAGAGUCUCCAUUUGUUUCUCCAUCCGCUCCAGUCUAUCUUGCAUCAUCCUCUCUCGGGCUUCAUUUGCAAUUUCCCGAAGAGUGAUUGUCUCCCCAGCUUCGUUAUCCUCCCUCAAGGCGUCCUUCCUCGUCACAUCCAUGUCUAACCGUUCGUCGUUUCUCCGGUAACUCCUAAUUCGGUGGUAGCUUUUUAUCCAGCUCCCCACAGACGGCGCCAAAAUGUUGAUGCUUAAAUCUGCUCGCCUUUUGACCGACCAGAUUCUUUCACCAACGUUUGUGUUGUCAACUGCUGCUCGGACCACUGGGGUUGGAAUUGCCCUCCUUCCUCUUACUAGACCUGCGUUCACCAAAAAUGGAUCAGAGACGCCGGUGGUUUUGCCGGCGUAAACCCUCCCAUGCCUAAGUUAGCACAAGGUAUUUACGGAAAAACGGUGUAAUUUGGAUUCAAGAAGGGCUUAUAACUUGUUUCGAAGUUUGAAAGGAAAAGGCAUGAUUGCAAUUUGGCAGCGUUUUCCCUCUCUUCAUUUUUUUUGUCCUUUUCUUCAUCGAUUUCUUCUCCUUUUAUAGCCGUUGUCCCAUGUUCCCGUUUGGCUUUCAUCCCUCUUUUUUCGGAUGGUGGCAGCCCUUCAACGGACUCUAACUGCUACAUCAUGGGCAAACGUGGGGUCUCGCAUUACUCGCAACGGUUCUGGGAGAAGCGUAACUACCGUGAUUCUGUGGGAUCGUGUUCCCGCUUUUUCGGGGGAUGGGUAUCGGCUCGGUAUAUACCUCUGGUCGGUAUACUCCCCUGGUUGUACUCGUCUCUGGUCGGACCAUACUUGUCCCUGUGUUCUGCUCGUACCAUUUGGUUGAGGUGAUCCAUGCCGGCGUGGAAAUAGUAGCAUGGCCGACCUGGUGCGUAGCAUGGCCGACCUGGUGCUUUUAUUUACUUAACAAGUGUUAUAGAGAGAGGCUCAGAGUUGAUUCAUUUUAGGUUGCAGUGGCCAGUGGAGAGAGAGGGAUUUAUUCAACGCUUAGCCAAAAUUUGGCGGAAGUGUUGAUGUGUUUUAAGUUAUAUAAAACGGUGUCGUUAAUUUAAACGGCACUGUUUUACAAUCUUAUAAUUUCACAAAACUUAAGCAUGACUUAUAUGUAUCAUUUAUUUAGGACGGUUAAGUUACGUCAUGAAUAUGUCAUAUAUUCUGGACAUAUGAAUAUAUAUCAUGAAUCUAUCAUAUUUUUAUGAUACAUUCGUGACACAACGAUAUAUGUCAUAAAAUUUCUGUCAUUAUUUAAUACUUUUCUAGUAGUGUCAUAUCUUUAAAACCUUUCUAUUAAUAGCAAAAACUCUAAUCCUUUAGCAAAAGACUAAAAAUUUAAAAAAAAAAAUUCUGUUUAAAUAUCAGUUGGCUCAUGAUCAACACUUCAAUACUAUUUGUUGUAUUUUCUUUCUUUCUUUCUUUGUCAUUUUAUUAGAUUUGCUUAAGUAAUUGUUCAUUGUUUACGUCUGUGUUCUUACUAGCUUUUGAUAAUUUAUGGUUGGUUUUUUAUUCAAACCCUCGAAGUACCUUUCUGUUAACAGCAAAACCUUUGAUCCUUAAGAAAGAAAAAGAAAUUCUCUAUUUAGUUAUUAGUUGGUUCAAGAUCAAUAUCGCGAUAUUGUUUGCGGUCUUUUCAUUCUCUAUCUUUCCCUCUAGUUCAAUUUAAUUUAUUUGUAUUCCUUUCUUUGACCCUUGUAUUUAUAUAUAUAUAUUGUUAAGCAACAGGCAAUGGCUGCAGAAGGGUGCCUCCCUGCUUUUUCCAGCAUUGUAUCACAAGGUUCAAAAGCGUUAUUCGAACCGAUUAUGCGGCACAUAUAUUAUGUGUUCGAGUACCAGAGCUACAUAGAUGGGCUAAAAGAUCGAGUGAAGGAGCUGGAAUAUAUAAGAGAAAGGGUGCAAAUGCUGGUUAGAGAGGCUACUCUACAAGGAGAUGAGAUUUAUAAGGGUGUCAGAGACUGGCUAAAUAGAGUUGCUGAAUUCAGUGAAGGGGUUGCAAAAUCCAUCAUUGAUGAUAAAGAUAGAGCUAAGAUGUUCUGCUUCAAAGGGUUGUGCCCAAAUUUGAUUUCUCGUUACAAGCUUGGUAAACAAGCAGCAGAGGCGCAAACGAAGCUGACAAACUUGUGAAAAAAAGGCGAAUUUAACAUAUGUAAUCAUGUUUCCUACCGUCCUGCUCCAGAGAGUACAGAAUAUGUGCAAGUGAAAGAUUACGUAGCCUUUUAUUAUAAUAUCUUUUCACUCUAUUAACUUAAAAAAAGAUUGACUUCAAAUGUUAAAAAUGUAACAGCGUAUACAUUUUAUAAUAAUUUCAAUAUUUAAAAAAUAUUUGAAUACUUUACAAUCUUAUAUUAUAUUAAACUAAUUUUAUAAUAUAUAGAAACAUAAUAGUAAAAUAAAUAUAUAAAAUUUUAAGUUAGGCUUAAUAUUAUUUAAAAUAAUUUAAAUAUCAUUAAUACAUGAGAUAUAUUAUAUUAAUUAUAAAUUCUAUUUAAUCUAAAUAUUUAUUUAAAUUUUUUAUACUAAAAAUAGAUAUAUUAUUAAAAUAAAUAUAACAACUAACAUUUUAAAAAUUAAUACUGAAAUUAAAAUUAUAAAUUAUAUUAAUCUACUAAAAAGAUUAAUCUAUUUGACACUCGCAGCGGACAAUGAGGUCACGGCAUAGGACAACUUCUUUUGAAAAAAAAAAAAAUCAAAAUCAAAGUCAUUGAAGUGCGUUUGAUGAUUUGCUGUGUAGCUUCUCUCUCAAAUGCUUUUCGAGUGCCUCUGGUAUCUGCUUUUAUAUAAGCUUUUGUCUUUAAUCAUUCAUUCAAGCUUUCGCUAAGAGUGAUGCAGCACAGCACGUAAAUAUAGAAGCAUUGACAGCCGUAGUCAGGAGCUCUUCGGUAUUUGAAGCAAGAAUGGUUGUUUGGCUUUGUGCAUUGAAAGAGAAAAGAAAAUAGAAUGACUAAUUUCAAUAAUACAAUUUAAUUAAUUAAUUUAAAAUAAUAAGCAUAUAAUAAUGAUGAAAUUAAUUAAUAAAAAGAAGAAAAUGAAAAUUGCACGUGCUAUUAGCAUAAACCAAUUGCCGGAAUGAGGUCACUUUGUAGACAAAUGAUUCUGGAAUCAGAACUUGGGCCAGCUUUGGGUUAUGGAUCCAAAAUAAAAAUAAGGUGGGCCACAUGGUCUCUUAUGAUCAAUAAAAAUCGAUUGAAAAGGAUGGUAUGGUGAGUGGAAGAGAAAUGUCGAUGGCAGAUCAAGGGAUGAAGAUACGAGCUCACUUGCAACGUGGUAUAGUUCAUCAUGGCUUUCCUAUAAGUUCAGGUCCUUUGAAUACUUUCAAUGACCUUAUUAGUCAGGAAUUUAACAAUAAUUUUUAUUUUUUUACAUCCAGGAACGGUUUUAAGCAUAGGAAAAUUAGGCCUAUAAUAGCAAAUCUUCUUUUUUAGGCCUCUUUUUAGUUAGUAAUUAUCUUAUAAUUAAGAAUUUUUAUACACAUUCUAUAUUUGAUAACCUUAAUAUUAAAGAUCUCUAAUUGUUAAUUUAUUAUUAGUUUUUCCAAGAAAAAAAUUAAAUUCUUUAUCUAUUUAAAAAAGUUUAUUAUUUAACAUUAUAAAAUUUUUUGCGCCAUUCUCUAUAAAGAAAAUUAUUACAUUUAUUGGUUCACUUUUGAAUUAAAAAAAAGUUUAUUAAAUAAUAAUUCUAGAGGAAGUAAAAAAGAUAUCUUCUUGGAAAUGUUUCAAACCCAUGUGUUUGGAUCUGUUUGAUAAUUUGUCGAAUUUGCCCACAUAUGAAAUUAGUAUGAUUUUACAGGUUAUAUUAUUUAAUUGGCUAUUUCAUUAAAAAAAAAAAAAAACACACACACACACACACACACAAGGAUUUUUAUUUGAUGGUAGAAGUUAAGUUGUUUUUCAGUGAUAAAUAAUGUUGUUAACCAAAUUUAAUUGACAUUCUACGUGGCAGUAAUUCAAUUUUAUAGAAGCACGUGGAUUAAAGGACAAAAACACAUCCAGUAUUUAAUAUUGGAUAUGAAUAUGGAUUUUAUCCAUAUAGAUAUGGAGAUCUACGGAUAUUUUAUUUUUAUUAUAUAAAACUAAUAAUAUAAAAUAGUUAAAAUUUCAAUAUCAAAUUUGAUUAUUAAACUAUUUAUAUUAGUAAUAAUAUAUAUAUAUAUAUAUAUAAUGAAAUGGCCGUCCGGUGGCCGGCAACGGAGGUCCGCGAAGUCUCUUCAUUCUCCUGUUAAGUAAUAAAAAAAAUCAAAACAGAGGAGAAACAUGGCCCUCUUUUCAUUCCCCUGUUUGAUAACAAUAAAAACAAAACAAAGGAGAUACGUGGACUCUCUUCUCAUUCCCCUGUUUUUCUUUUCGGUUUGGCGAUUUUAAAAUUUGAUAUCUACACUCAUUAAAAAAAGAAAAAAAAAAGUUAUUCCAAGAUGAUUUUCUAUUUUCAUAUAGACGUUUAUUUAUUAACCAAAAUUUAAAAAGUGUAAUUCUAAACUUAUCCUUGUGCUUUGAUCUUGGAGGGAUUUUUCAUUUUUUCUACACUGGUCUUAUCAAUUAAUGAUGAAAGUUCUUAUCAUUAAUUGCUUUGGAAAUGAGCAAGCACGGUAUGACCCCUAAGAGAAUUUAUUAAUUGGACAAGUUAUAUAACACCUUUGAUAUGGCUCCUAGACAUGUAUGCAAUUUGUAUCUUUUAGUUUUGCUUUUAAUUCUUUUUUAAUUAAAUGAGUCCGGAUUAGGUCAGUGGCAGAUAAAAGAGUCGGUUUUUCCAUUACUAAGCUUUUCAUGGAUGAAAAUUUUAUUUAUUUUUUUGGUUUUAAAGGUUCUCUGUGAAUGCCAUUAGAAAUGAGAUUGACUAAUUCAAGCUUCCUUUUUCCCCUUAGCAUCCAAACGUGUGAGGCAAGGGCAACUAAUGAGUCCCUUGUGAUGAGAACCUUUGUCUAAGCAAAAGCAGAGGUCAAUUGCUAAUACCGUAAUGUUAUUACUUUCAGUGCUUAAAUUGCUCCAUAAGCUUGCAUUUUAAAGUCUUUGUCUUAAUUUCUGUGGUAUACUGGUUAUGAGACCUCCUGCCAAGUUCAAGUUUCUUGAUGUCUUAUAAUUCCAUUUGUUGUGGUGGUUACUUUGUCAUAGAACUGACUGUUAAAGGCCAUCAAUCAGCUCUGUUUUGUAUUUGUGUACGUUUUUUUUCGUAUAAUGAUCAAUCAAAUGUUAGCCCUUAGAUUGCAUCCAAUAUUUAUUGAUUGUCUUUAAUUAGGAUAUAAACUAAAUUCAUAAGACAUUCCCUUAUUGAUAUUCAUUCCAACACGUCCUAGUCUUUUGCCUUGUAGAAAUGCUUGUGGUUGAAGAGCUUUACACAGAAGCUGUCGUCAGUACUGCGCGGAAAUUGAUUAUAUUGAAUCAGAAAACUUGACUAGGUAAGGUCUAUGUGCAUGAGAAUACUUGGAAAAUCUUCACAAUACUGAGGGCCGGAUCUGCACUCUUUCCUCUAUAUGUGUCUUCAAUAUCAAUGGCUCAAAUACAUGUGUUAUGGUCUUUUAAUAUAAAAUACCAUUAUCUCAUGCGUUAUGGUCUUAUCCUUGUAUUCUUAAAAACUAUAUAAAAUACCAUUAUCUCUGCUUUUGUAGCUAUUGAAUUCGACUUUCACAACAUAAAUAUUUAUUUAUGUUAAUGUGUAUAAUUUUGAAAAUUAUAUGCAUUGUUAAUGUGUAUUAUUGUCUAAUAUUUGGAUUUUAUUAAUUUACAACUGCUAUAACUUAAGGCCUCUUCAAACAUAAUGUGAGUCCCACCACGUGUUAAAUUUUUUACAUUAUUUUUGAAGGAACUAUAAGUUACAGCAGCUGUAACUUAGCAGCACCUCCAAUAUUUUACUUUACUUCCCCUAAUAUUUUACUUGUACUUUUAUAUCUUUACAAAACAAUACCAACAAGACAAUAAUGUAUGAAAUAAAUAAAUAAAGAACUGACAACGAAAUUAGGCCUAUCAUUAAUUUCUCGUGGCGUGAACUCUUGACAAUUCUCCCAUAUCCCACCUGAAGCUCUCGCGUGGUGUGAACGCUUGACGAUUCUCCCAUAUCCCUCCAAAAAUUUGUCAUAUUACGAAAAGCAAUGUCAAUUCAAUGUCGUCUCCAUUAAUCAUAGUGGCAGAUAGGACUAGAAUUUGUUGAAACCCCCGGACUUAUUUUUCCUUUUGAAAAUAAUUUUGUAGAAUCUCAUAUCGUGAAUAACAGACAAUGAGACUCUUUUUUUUAACUAUAAUAUUUUUUUUUAAAUUAUUAACUAAAAAAAUAAUUUUAAUAUUUUUAUAAUAAAUAUAAGUAGGAUAUUAAAAUAAAUAUAAUAAUAUUUAUAUAUUAAAAUAAUUUCAAUACCAAAAAAUAUUUUAAUAUUUUACAAUCUCGUAUUCUAUUAAACCAAAUUAUAAUAAAUAGAGACAUAAUAUUCAAAUAAAUAUAUAAAAAUUUAAAUUAUUUUCAACAUCAUAUAAAAUAACUUUAAUAUUAUUAAAACAUGAGAAAUAUUAUAUUAAUUAUAAAAACUAUUUAACCCAAGGAUUUGUUUAAAAUUUUUAUAAUAAAUAUAUUAUUAAAAUAAAUAUAUUAAAUUACAUUUUAAAAAUUAAUUAUUUAAAUUAUACAUACUAGUCUACUAGAAAAUUUAAACUAUUUAAAUCAUAUAUACAUUUAGUAAAAAAUUUUGAAGUCAUUUUUUUUUAUGUGGCUACCAUAAGAGUACUAUAGUCAAAAAGGGUAUUGGUGUUCUUUAUUAAAAUUUUGGGGUCUACAUGACUAUUUUCUAAAAUUUUAAGGGUGUCAUUUUAUUUUUGGAAAAAAAUAAAAAUUUCAUUUAAACGGCUAAAAUGGUGAAUGAUGGUUGUCGAAGCCAACAAAAAUAAAUAGAUACUCUAAAUAAAUUGUAUAUAGUGAUUGAGCAGGGUCGUGUCCACAUAGAUCGGUAAUUAUUUAAAUUCUUUUAAAACAUAAAACAUAAAAUGGGGGUUUUGUUGACAAUAAUAAAAAUCAAAGUAAAAAAACGAAUGCAAAUUAAAGUUGGAAUUCAAAUUGGAGAAAGCUCUGGUUGAAGGAAUUAACUCAGCUUGAUUCAACUGCUGAUCAUUGAUUCAAAUAUAAAUUAUUAUUACUUAUGAAUAGACCGGUUAUAGCUACUGAGACCCUCUAAUAGCCAAUCUCUCCUUAAUUAGUCAAUAACCAAGGUACGACCGUUGGUUAUUUUCCUAAUCAAUAGACAACCCUAGAUACGAUCAUAGAAUUUAAUCAAUUGACAGCCUGAAAAACCAGAGAGACCCAAAUCCUAAUCAACAAACACAUACGAUGGUUCAUUUAAAUUAGAUUGUUUAUUCUCACAACACAACUCUUUGCUAUGUUAUUUGUCACAAACAUUAAAAUCUUCAUACGAUGAAUCCUUUAAUUGACAAUAGAUUAAGUUGAUAAUUAAAUAGUGGCCAAUUACCUAAUUAACAAACAUAAUCAUGAAAAUAAUUUAGAGAAUAAACAAAUACCCAAAAAGCAAUAAAAAAAUUAAAGCAUAAGAAAGAUCUCACAGUAGUGAUGAAUCAAAGCUUCAUUAACCUUCAACCAGAAAAAUAGGUUUAGUUCUUCAUAGAGAGAAGAGAAAAGUUUAGAUCUAGGGUUUCUUUCUUUUUCCAAUCUCCCAUUUUUCACAAUAGAUUCCUCCCUUAAAUACUCUCUCUCUCUUCUCAUCUAGAGUUCUAUUUAAAAUAAAAUACUAAUAUCUGAAAUAUUAAAUUCAUAAUUACAAAAAUAACCAAAAAUACAAAACACGUUAAACUAAAAACUGCAGGUCCGUAGUUGACAGCACGCGCCCACGCCUUAUCAACAAAGUUCUUUUGACGCUCAUAAUUUCUCCAAUGGAACAAUCAUCCUUAAACAUCAUCUUGUAACUCAAUUUUUGCACCAAUCAAUAGAAUUGCACCUAUAAAAAUAAAACACAAGUAAAUCACUAUUAUUAAGUACAAAACAUCGAUAUUAAGGGAAGUAAACAAUUCAAAACUAGUGCAUAAACUGCACUCUAACAGUGAAUAGUACAAUGCUACAGUGGGCGUAAAUGGAAGGUAAAAAGCACUCAAAAUGACCAACAGUCUAAUGCCUCAGCAGGGACAUAAGGUCAAAGUUUGUUACAUGUGGUUAGGGCCAUUUAGUCUGUGAGUGGGUCCUGCGUGUCAUUUUUGGGCAUUUCAUCUUCUUUAGCAUUGAAGAUUAAAUGUUGCCGAUAUUUUCAAAAUUUUGGAAGACCCAUCACACUUUUGGAUGGUUGUCAUUAUUUGAUAUUAUCAUUAUAUGACGAAAUAAAAUUGGAUGUAACACUUGUUUCGCGUUGUGUGAACUUUUGACAAUUCCCCCAUAUCCCCCAAAAAUCUUUCGCCAUUUUGGGAAGAUGCCAUUUAUUUUCAUUUUCAUCAUUGAUAGUGGCAGAUAAUGGGUUCGGGGACAUACUAUAAAUUAUUAUGACCCAUGGACUUUUCUAAUUUUUUUCCCUUUGGAUAGUUGUCGUUAUUUGAUAUAAGGAGAUAGAGAUAAAGUUUUUUAAUCAAAUGCCCAUUUUUUUUACCUUUGGAUAGUUGUCGUUAUUUGAUAUAAGGAGAUAGAGAUAAAGUUUUUUAAUCAAAUGCCCAUUUUAUUUAACAUGGAAGAAGAUCUUUAAACUCUAAGUGAGGCUAUCACUUCAACUGAUGCAGCCCUCAAGAAAGAGGUAACAAGUGAUGAGAUAGACUCAUUAUUGUCUAAUCAAAAAAGGACAUCAGUAGAUGUAUCAGGAUCUUAAGUUAGAUUGGAAUUUGAUACAUUGUUGCUGGUAACAUUGGUUCAAACCUUUAAAGCGAGGUUGGAUGCAAAAUGGUUUACACCAAAGAAGUGAUUUAGGAAGUUAAUUAACGUUAUUUUAGAUAAUUUAUAAUUCUAGAAUAUUUAUUAUUUUAUGAUUUUCUAUUUUAGUUUGAGUCAAUUAUGGUAUGUAUCUUAAUCUUUUAUUUCCAUUAUAAUUAUGAUUUAAAUUUUCUUUUUAGGUUAAUUUAGGAAAGUGGAUUUCUUUUAUUAUAAAUAAAGAUGUCUGUAAUAAAAAAAAAUAAAGAUGUCUUGUCAUUAUUUUCAAAACUUCAAGUUCAAUUAUUAAAUAAAACCCCUCUUUUAUAAUUUCCUCUAAGAUUAUUUAUCAAAAUCUCUCUUGUAGAGUCGUUUGGAUUAGAGUGUCAUCUAAUCUCGUAUUACGCGUUAUUAAAAAUCGCAUUGAGUCAUUUGGAUUAGAACAAUAUCUAAUCACGCUUCGAAUAGAGCGUAAGCUAAUUGCAUUGGCUUGGUCCAGUAUUAGAACGAUAUCUAGUGUUUCUUACCCUAUAAUUCUGCUUCCGCUACGCCUCGCUCCAUCAAUUCGUAUCAAAGCGAUUCUAUGCGAAUCACACAUCGUUCCUAGAUACACGAUACCCAUCCAAACCAAAUCCAUCAAAAAAAAAAAAAUUUACAAAUUUGAAAACCCUACCCGUCACAUCAACCUCCACCGCCGCCCACACCGCCGAUCAGCCAGCCAACACCACCACAAACCUCACUAGCCACCGUCGACCAAGCCUCAGUCAUCGCUGCCUCAACGGCCGCUUGAACAGCCGCAAAUCACCAACGCAAACCCGCGGCUCCACCAAGCAACCCACCACCAUUCAGCCACUUUCUCCAUCAGCCACCUCCACCAACAAACUCGCCGGCCUCCGUUGGCCAAAAACCAACCAACUUCAGCCCUUGAUCGCCGCCCGCUGUCACCAGACGAAACGACAACCCACGAGUGCUUCCUACACGCGCCGCCACCAAAACACCUUGUUUUUCCGUCAAUUUACACCACCACCAUAAUCCCUAGCAGUCGGCAACCGUAAAUCCAGUCUUCUGCCACUGUAAGGCCGCCAUAAACCAAAAGCCACAUCACCAAAAUCAACCGCCAAUUCAAGUCGGAUUUCCCCCAAUUCAAGUUGCUGAAUAUAAAAAGGACUCAUGAAAAUUACUAAAGUUUCAAAUAUUGUUAUUCAGCAACCACUUUUAGGUUACAUUAGUUUCAACCCAAAUUUUAUAUAAAUAAUUUAUAACUCCCAUUAUUAUUAUAAAAAAAAUUGUAGCAAUUGUGGUUAUAUCACAUGAAAAAAAAAAAUUCUAAUUAAAGAAAUUGACAUUAUAACUUAAAAGGAUAGUUGCUCUUUUAAUCAUUAGAAUUUAUGUCAAUUAUCCAGCUUAUCAUUGCAUUCUUAAAAACUAUAUACAAUACCAUUAUCUCUGCUUUUGUAGCUAUUGAAUUUGACUUUGACAAUAUAAAUAUUUAUUAGCAACAACUUAAAAUUCAAACAAAUCUAAUAUGUAAUGUAUGAAAUACAAAUAACAAUUAAACAAAUUUUGAUUAUUUAAUAUUAAGAUAUAAUCACAUUAAUAUCAUAAGGAUAUGUGGUACUCAAAUAAUCUUUUAAAAAUCAAACCCAAAUUAUAUAUUAUUAAUAUGUAUUAUUAUCUAAUAUUUAGAUUUUGUUAAGUUACAACUGCUGUAACUUAAGUCUCUUAAAAAAUAUGUGGGUCCCACCACCUAUUAAAUUUUUUACAUUAUUUUUAAAAAAAUUAUAAGUUACAUCAGUUGUAAUGUAAAAGCCCCCCUAAUAUUUUACUUUACUUUUAUACCUUUAGAAAAACAAUAAUGCAUGAAUAAAUAAAGAACUGACAACAAAAUUGGGCCUAUCAUUAGUUUCUCGUGGUGUGAACUCUUAACAAUCCUCCCCUAUCCCACCUAAAGCUCUCGUGUGGUGUGAACGCUUGACAAUUCUCCCAUAUCUCUCCAAUAAUCUGUCAUAUUGCGAAAAGCAAUGUCAAUUGCAAUGUCGUUUCCCAUUAGUCAUAGUGGUAGAUAGGACCAGAAUUUUUUGAAACCCCUGAGGCCCUGAACUUGUUUUUCCUUUUGAAAAUAAGAAAAGGACACCCGUCUGGAGAAAUAAUUUUGUAGAACCUCAUAUCUUGAAUAACGGACAAUAAGAUUUUUUUUAAAUUAGAUAUUUUUUAAAUUUAUUAACUAAAAAAAUUAACUCUAAUAAUUUAUGAUAAAUAUAAAUAGGAUAUUAAAAUAAAUAUAAUAAUAUAUACAUAUUAAAAUAAUUUCAAUAUCUAAAAAUUUUAAUAUUUUACAAUCUCGUAUUCUAUUAAACCAAAUUAUAAUAAAUAGAGACAUAAUAUUCAAAUAAAUAUAUAAAAAUUUAGGUUAUUUUCAAUAUCAUAUAAAAUAAUUUUAAUAUUAUUAAUACAUGAUAAAUAUUAUAUUAAUUGUAAAAUCUAUUUAACCUAAGGAUUUAGUUAAAAUUUUAAAAUAAUUACAAAUAUUUUAUAAAUACAAAUAAAUUAAUUUACAUUUUAAAAAUUAGUAUUGAAAUUUAUUAUUACUUGGACAAAUUAACACCAAAAUUAAUAUCUAUGCAAUUUGUGUCAUUUACUUUUGCUUUGUAAUAUUUUUUAAAUGAGUCCCGAUUGGUUCAUUGGCAGAUAAAUGAGUCGGUUUUUCUGUUUUUAUUUUAUUUUAUUGUUUUUGAAAAUGGUUUUUCUGUUACGAAGCUUCUCAUGGAUGAAUUUUUUUUUUAAUUUGGGUAAUUUUUAAUUGGGUCCUAAUUAUUUCUAGAAAAAAAAUUCAGAGACCAAAAGUUUACUAAAUGAAUGAAUUAAAUCCUUUUAAGUGCAAAUUUAUGUCAUUCAAGCCCUUAACCCAAUUCUUCCGUUAAAAAAAUUAGUGAAAAUGUUAAGUUAAAUAUAAAAAGACAGGUAUACCCUUAUAAUCAUAUUAGUGAUUUAAAAUACAAUUUUAGCCUUGGACAUUAUUUUUUUUUUCAAUCUAACAACCUAUUUAUCAAUUUGAGUAUUUGAAAACACUAAACGAAUAUCUUUCGCCAAUUUUUAUAAAAAUUCAAAUAUAAAGAGUGAAUUAUACAUGAAAAUGUAAUUUGCUAUCCAUAUAAUUUCAUCACAUCAAUAAAAAUAUGAUAAUUGUUAAACUAAAUAACAUAUGUAUUGAAUAUAAUAUUAAAAAAAACACAAUAACAUUCGGUCUAAAAAUGAAAUUAAAAGUAUGAAAGUCAAUUAAAUUCAAACUAACAAAUACCUUAACAAUACUAAAGUAAACUGAAAUUUAAACACAAAAAAUAGUUAAUUGUCUUCUGAACUCUAUAAUGGAGAAUUAAAUGCCAACCCAAGGUGAAAUUGUACUAUCCUACUCCCUGUUAACUAUGAUAAGUUCUUCAUUUUGAGGUUGAGGUACAAUCCACAAUAGUUGUGUAUACAGUCCCACUAGUUGAGUGACAUUGAUUGAAGCCUAACUAGCUUGUUUUGGAACUAUUGCCAAUUGAUUGUUCAUUGACAUCUACUUCUUGAGAUUGUGGGUUAGUUUCAUGCUAUUCAAAAAAGAAAAAAAAAACAUCAAUUUCAUUAAAUAAAAAAAAAAGAAUCAAUCUAUUCAAUAUAAUUCCACAAUCAAAUCAAACAUAUAUAGCUAGUCAUGUUUUAUUAGCUGCAUACACAUCACUAGGAUCACCAAGUUAUUAAUCCAUUUGAUAACAUAACAAAAAAAAAUAUAAUGAGAUUCAAUUACAAAAUCAGACCUGUGUGGUUGAUGAAGUGAUAUCACUUGCCUGUGCACAAAAAAAAAAUCACCAAGUUUUAAGCAAUUUAAUGAAAAAGAACAAAAAACAAUCCUUUAGAAUUAAAUUUUCAAAAUCAUAUUAAACACGUCCACUUGAUUAAGUCUUAUUUCUUCCUUACACACAACCAAUAUCACCAAGUUUUAAGCAAUAUCUAGUGCAAAAGAAAAAAAAUCCUUUUGAAUUUAAUUAUAAAAUAUAAUUAAAUUAAACCAAUGCACUUGAUGAAGUCCUAUUGCUUCCCUGCACAACAUGAAGAUCAAUAUUUGUUAACUUCACCAAACGAAAUUUAAAAAACAAAAAUGACUCUUAUAUUAUACCUUUAUGGUUCUUGUGGUUUUUGGAAAAUUAGGGCAGCCCCUUUUGUUGUGCCCAAGAUGUCUGCAAGCACCACAUUUGAUAAUAAACCGUUUAUUAGUUAGUUUGGCCUCACCAAUGUCUUUUGUUCUUUUCUUUUUCGGUCUACCAACUGGAGCCUUUAUGUAAGGUGGUCCAACCUUCACAGGCACCACAACAUCAGGUGAAGGUUCAUCUUCCACUUUAGGCCAUGCACACUCAUAAGGAAUAGGAUUUAUAGUCCCUAUGUAUGUCAUCAUAAAAAAUUCAUUGGUCAGAUAAUGAUGCACAUAAUCUUCACGUUGCCCUCCUUUAUUAAAAAUAGCAGCUACUGAAUGUUUGCAAGGCACUCCACUAACUUGCCACAUCUCACAUUCACACGUACCAUCUAUAAUAUGUACUAGGAAAUUUCUAUAGCCAUCUUGACAACAUUCAAACAACUCCUCUCUACCUCCAAAGACCUUAAUUCUCCUUGUCUCAUUUGAGGAUUGAUUUGGUCUGUCUCUAGCAUAUGGGGUCAAACGGUCUUGCCAAGUUUCCCCUUGUUGAUAUUUUUCCAAUAUUCUCACCAUUAGUUGUCUACGAAUAUGCUCAAGAAUGGUUAGGACAAGCUUGUCCCUAACCUCAUCCACCCACUUAUUAAAAGAGUCAAUCAUGUUGUUUGUAACAUGGUCAAAUUUCACAUGGUGAUCAAACCCGCUUCUAGACCACUGUGCAGAUGGUAUUUUUCUCAACUAUUCACAACAAUUUUAGUCUUUAGCCCUAAUUUGACUCAUUGCCCUCUCAAAGUCAUACUGAUUUACAGCCCUAUAAGCUUUCCAAAAUAACCCCAUGACAUUCAAACCAGGAAACUUACACUUCAAAUUGGCAAAGAUAUGCCUAGCACAAUAUCUAGUACUAGCAUUAGGCUAAUAUUUUUCCAGUCCCUAUAAAAGACCUUUUUGUCUAUCACUAAUAAUAGUCACAUGCCUAUGAUCAUCAUCCCUAAUGAAUUCCUACAGCAAAGAUAAAAAAUAACCCCAACUAUCAUAGUUCUCUGCCUCACAUAUGCAAAAAGCCAGCGGAAAAAUUCCACUAUCAACAUCUAAUGCAACAACAAAUAACAAUACUCCCUUGUAUGGCCCCUUCAAGUGACACUCAUCCAAUCCUAUGAAAGGUCUACACCCAGUUAGGUACCCCACUUUAAGUGUAGGAAAUGACAAAAAAAAAAAAAAACUUUGAAAACCUAGGCUAUUUGACUAUGGCCUAUCAACCUUUACCUUGACACAAGCACCUUUAUUCAUUUUCAUUAGAAUGUGAGCAUAUUUCAAAAGCUUUCCAUAGCAAGUAAUGUGGUCAGCACCUCGGUUUUUUAAUGCAAUUUUUUUGCCCUGUAUAGUUUUUGUUUGUCACAUUCAAUCCCAUGUUUAUCUUUUAACUCACUCCUUAUAACAUUUACACCAACUCCUAGGUUAGUUUGAAUAAGUUCAGCACAACUUUAGCUAUCCAAAGUGCUGUUGCAUCUUUGUUAACUGAUUUAAUAUGGCAAUCAUGUUUCCCUUUAAUAUACCUAACUUUAAAAGUUAUCCCAUCAACCAUCGAUGAAGCAUGAAAUUUCCAAGUUCAUUUUGGAUUGACACAAUAACAAGUAUACUUAACACCAUCAUUUUUAAUCCUAUUUAACUCAAAAUCCUCUUGGAUUGCAUAUUUCACCAUAACCUCUCUUAAUAAUGCAACAGAUUCAAAGGUAUUUCUUACUUUUAGACUAACUGAACCAUUUAGUUUUGGUUUCCACUCAUUAUCAAUAAUGGAUUCAUACAUAUGUGAGAGACCAUUCUCUUCAUCAAAUGAGUGCACUCCGAUAAAGCCAUCCUCACUAAAUUUUUCAAACUUAUCAGUACCCAUACUAACACCUAUAUUGAUAGGACUUUUAGAUCCUAUUACAACACUUUCAUGACAUGAUUGACCACCUAACCCAGUGUGCACCUCAAACUCAAUAACAUGCCAACUAUUAGUAAAGAACUCCUAAAAAACCGAAUACAAUUCACUAUCAUUUGAAAUUAGCUUCCUCUGCCUACUUGUAGUCCAUGGUAACACAACAGAAAUUUCAAUCAAAUCCAUUUCGUUGUGUCCAUAUUUAACCAUGACUUCUAGAAUUUCAUGAAACAACCUAAUACUCUUAUAUUCCUAUGGGUUCCUAUAUCCUAUCUCAUACACUGCCCCAUUAAUUUUAACCAACAAAAAAAAGGUAACAUGGCUACCUGCAUCAAUUUUAAACAAAAGGUAUUGCAUCAAAAAAUGGCUAAACUAAUACAAUUUUAUUUAGCAAAGAAUAAAAAAACUCAACCUAAAUGAAAUAUACAUGUAAUUCAGUUAAAAAAGGUACAAAAGCAAAUUCAAUCUAAUACAUAUAAAAAUAAAAAUUGAAAAGAAAAAAUAACCCAGCAAAUAUAGAGAAUUUAGUCUAAUAUAUAAAAAUUACCACUCAUAAUAACACAUAGAAUUCAAUUUUACAUGAACAAAGAAGCAAAUACAACGAAUUCAAUCUUAUUAAUAUAACGAUACCAAUUAGUUGAAAUGAAAUAUUGUACAUAUACAACAACUCAAGAAAGCAAAUAAAAUAAGCUAAAUAAGUUCAAUAAAUACAUAUAUAAAUAUGGUGUAUUUGUUCUAUUUAUUAUAUAAAGAGCAAAUUAAAAAAAGUAUAUUAAAUACAACAUUCAAUAAAAAAAUCCACCAAUAAUUAAACAUAGUUUGUCAUUUAGAAAAAUAGACUUGAAAAACCUAAUUUUUCACAAAGAUCACUAAAUAUGGAAACAAUUUUUUCAGAAAAUGCUUGCAAAAAUCACUAAAAAAUUAGAGUUACUAACUUUGAAACUCAGGUUCUCUCCAACACUUGAACUCAACCAAUGCUAACAAAUCUUUGGUCAAAAUCACAAUAGAUUUAUACAACAUGUUUUGCGCCAUCCCACGUUCUCUCAAUCUCUCCUCUCACACGAAGAAUACGGCAGUUUCUAUAGUAUUUUUUUUUUUCGUUUGAAAGAACUUUAACUUGGUUAGGUUAAUUGACUUUGCUUUAAACUAUUGCCACCUGUAAGCAAACUAUUGCCACCUGUCAAAAAUAAAAGAAUGAGGAAGGGUUCAAUUGUUCUUUUACUAAAAUGUCCUCAAUGUUGUUAAUAUCUCUAACGGACGAGUUAAGUUAAGGACUUGAAUGACAUUACUUUGUACUUGAAAGGAUUUAAUUGAUUUAUUUAGUAAACUUCUGGUUUUUGAAUUUUUUUCUAAAAAUAAUGAGGGCUUAAUUAAAAAUUACCCUUUAAAUUUUAUAGAUUCUCUGCGAGCGCAGUUAGAAGUACCAAGUUUUGUUAGGUAGAAGGGUAUUUAAGUAAAUCUGCCCACAAUGAAGAAUAGUUCAGAACAGUUGAGGAAGCAUGAGAAUACUUGAGGAAAGCCUGAUAAGAAUUACGGCCGGAUCUGCACCCUUUCCUCUAUAUGUGUCUUCAAUAUAAAUGGCUCAAAUAUAUGCGUUAUGAUCUUUUAAUAUUUCGCCUCUGAUAUUGCCCACAUUGCUUACUGCAACACAUAAAGCACUUCGUUUACCCCAAAUCCUGAUAGGGAAGUAUAAAUAUAUGCUUCCGAAAUAGCGCAACUCUCCAUAAUUAUUUAAUAUGCCUCUCAAUGAAGCAAUCACCUUCAUUUACAACUCUGCGAUUAUUAAUCCUACAUACACGUGUUUCUUUUGUCUCUAAAAGUAUUCUCAAUUAAUUUACAUAAUUUAAUAUAAUAAGUACCUAAGACUAGACAAAUUUUCAUUACAAUAAAAUGAAUAAAUUAUAAUAGUAUUGACACAAUAAUGUCAAUAAUAAAAACUUUAAGAAGCCUAUAAAUUUUAAAAUAUGACUCAGAGUGCUACAAUGAACCACAACAAGUUAUUAUAUGAUCUAUAAUCAAUAUUCUAAUGAUAACAGAGUUCCUCUAUUUUCAAUCCCCUACUUUUCUAUUUAGCGAUUGUCAAAUUUUAUAUCUAAAAUUCUUCUAAUUUUACACUAAGGUUUAUUUUUUUAAAAAAAAAGGGGCAGGAGAAAGAGGCUAGAGAGUAUUAAAAAAUGUCAUUCUAAAUUUUCACUUGAGCGUGGUGUGAUUUUUAUCAUUUUUUAAAAUUGGCCAUUUAUAUUGAGUAAAUAAAAGAAUGAAUAGACGUUUGGACCACUUCUUUUCUGUUAUAAUAAAACAUGAGAUGUCUUCUCUUGAUGCUUUCGUCACAAAAGAAUAUGUUUAUGUCAUCAUAGGCUUAAAUGGGGUAAGUAAAUUAAGAUCGAGGACAAGUUUGUUUAAGCACUAAAGUCGCUAAAUAAAAGAAAGGCUCAUAUAAAAAUUACCUAAAGCACCAAAUAUUGUUAUUCAGCUACUUCUUUUAUGUUACAUUAUUUUCUACGCAAAUUUAUAUAAAUAAUUUAUAACUCCCAUCAUUAUUAAAAAAAAAAAAAACUGUAGCAAUUGUGGUUAUAUCACGUGGUGUGAUUGUUGUGAAAAUUUUAAUAUACUCGCAAGCGCACGAAUCUAGAAAUAGAGUAGUGGUAACGAGGUCGAUCCCACAGGGAUUGAUAAAAAGUCUAAUUUAAAUCUAAAAUUAAUAUUACUCCUAACCUAGUUGAGCAAAUUGAGUUUUUAAGAAAAUUAAACCAAUUAAACUAAGGAAGCAAUUAAAAUAAAAGAGAAUUCAAUAAGAUAGAAAUUACCAAGGUUUCAGAAUCCACCACUAUUCAACUAGUAAUUAUCUAAUUAUUAAUUAAUCCCCAAUUUUAGAGUGACAACUCGAAAUCAAUCUAUGUCAUCUCAUAGAUAUAACAAUUAAGCCCAAGUAAUUAAAUCUAAUGUAGGUUCUUUUUCUGCUUAAUAAUAUGACAUCUAAGCAUCCCAUGUAAACAUAUUGAAUAACAAAGAGUCAAAGUUUUCCUAAGCACUCUAUGUAAACAAUUUAAUGAAAGACAUAAAAUCAAAGAUAAUCAUGUAUAAACUUUAUAGAUCCAAGCAUAGAAUUAAUCGAAUAUUAAUCCUAACAAUCAAUAAUGCAUGACAGAAUUGAUGAAAAGAUUUUAAUAACAUCCAAUUAAUCAUGUGAAAUAAAAACCAUAAUUAUCAAAGAACAUAUAUAGGGAAUUAAUUAAAUAAAAAGAGAUAAUUAUUUCAUUGAAUAGGGUUUCAUCCUUAACCUCAGUAUAAGAGAAUUAGUUAGACAUACUUGAAUUGGGAACAACAAAAAAAAUAAAAUCACCCAUGGAAACCGAACUGCUGCUGCCCAACCUUGCGUCUUGCGUCUGCCGAAUUCUCCUUCUCCUUUCGUUUCUGUCCAGCAGCUCCCUUUUAUAUUGCUUGGCCACGGAAUCCUAUUGUGAUUCUAAUAACUAAACCAACUCUUACAAGCUAAAGCUCUAAGCUUGCCACGUAAUUGAAAACAAUAAAAGCCAAAAGCUAUUGAUUUCCUUCCUUUAUUCUACUUUGACUUUCCAUUCAAAGGCUUAAUUAAAAGCUUUGUUUUUAUGUGCUGCCCACUUUAGCUUUAACUUUCAUCUUUGUUUGCACGAGCAUGGAGAAUUCAAUUUAUUGGAUUCGGCUUCUUCCACAUGCACGUAUGUCUAAUUGGUUCCAAAUCAAUUAAUCUUUAAUGCUUACAAAUUGAACUCCUUUAUGCUCUUUUUAUCCAUAAUCUCCAAUUAAUUCCCUAUUCAAUAAAAUAAUUCAAUUAAUUAAAAAUAACAAAUAAAAAUAACUAGCAAUUAAAUAAUUAAGGGUAAAAUAUGUAUAUAAAUUAUGCUCAUCAAAUACCCCCAAACUUAGAUUUUGCUAGUCCUCGAGCAAAACUAAAAAAAAAAAAAAACAAAAAUAAAAAUAAUGAAACAAAAAGUAAAUCCGAACUAAACCACUUUCGCAGGUAAUCGCGAUUGCAUUUAGCGUAUGCAACAAGCCUUUAAACCCCUAGGCGGCCCUAGUGGACGAGUUAUAGUCUCGUGAGGGCUUCAGUGAUGAUACCCACAAACAUCAUUUUUCAAAGAAUUAAAAUAAAAAUAAAAUGAAAAGAACAACAAGCUUUAAACAAAACAUGAAGAUAGCCUCAAAGAUUGCAUAAAUUAUAUAGCUCAAAGAAAAUUUCAAAUAUUGGCAAAGUUCUAACUUUAAUUCAAUAAUCAAUCCCAUCUCUCUUUCGAUUCUUGUAGUGUGUGUGUGUGAAAUCAAUUCAAUCAAAUCCAUUCCCAAAAUCCUCAAUAUCAAUAGCCUUCGCCUCAAACAAAGAAAAGAGUAGAUCAAACUAAUCUUAUCAUCUUGAUCUCCAAUUUUUUUUUUCAGGCUUUUAUGUGCAUUUUCUUUUGAUUUUUUUUUUUUAGCACAUGCACUUGAUUUUUUUUUCUUUUCCUUUUCUUUUUUUUUUGUUUUUUUUUCUUAACCAUAGUCAGGAGCUUUCACUCUACCCCUUAAGGUAGCCUUCUUCUCAUGGUAGAUUAUCCUCUACAUACUUGUGGUACAUAGGCCCAAAUUACUCAAGGAUAACUUCACUCUUAAGGGUUAUAGGUAGCUAUUUCUGACUUUGGCGCCUGUGUAUACUAAUUUGUAUUGUGGAGAUAAGAAUCAAGACAAACAGUCAUUUACUCUAUCUAAAAUUCUCAACUCAGGCUGUGUCAAUUUCAAAUUUCAAGCCAAAAUUAUAAAAGAACUGAUAUUAGUGCUCAUAGUUUAAAGAAUCUCAAUCAAGAGGAAUUAACACAAGAAUCAAGUAUAAACUAAGACAAUAUUCAACCCUUUCUAAAAACCAUAUUCAUUGUCAAUCAAGUUCUUAUCAUUGGCUUUUCACAUAAAAACAAAAAGAAAAAAAAAAACAAAACAUUUUUUUUUGAAUUUUUUUUAAUAACAAACAAAACACACGCUAUUCCCACCCCUAAAUUUAUUCGGAACAUUGUCCUCAAUGUUUCAUAAACAAAAGAUAUGCAUGCAAACAAAUGAAAGAGAAAUAAUAAUAAUAAUAAUAAUAACAAUAAUAAUAAACAUAAAUAAUAAAAAGAAAGUUGGAGAGAACACACCUGGAUGGGCUGGGAAAGCUUAAAAGAAAAUGCCAAAUGAAAAGAAAACAUUAAAAUAUAUAUAUAUAUUAGAAAAGAAAAUAAAUAAAGAAAAGAAAACCGACUAUUAAAAUAAAACAAGAGUGUAAAGAUGAACUUAAUUAAUCCUGAUAAACAGGAUCAUCUAAAAGUAUCUCCUCAACUUCUGGUGUUUUUAAUUCUAAAAAUGGUUUUAAUCUUUGACCAUUCACCUUAAAUAAAUCACCAUUUUUAGGAUUUUCAAUUUCAAUUGCUCCAUAAGGGAAGAUAGUACGAACUAUAAAAGGAUCAGACCAUCGAGAACGUAACUUACCUGGAAAGAGAUGCAAUCGGGAAUUAUAUAAAAGUACUUUCUGACCUGGUGUAAAGGCUUUUCUCAAAAUAUGUUUGUCAUGAAAGACUUUCAUUCGCUGUUUAUAAAUCUUGGCAUUCUCAUAUGCAUCAUUCCUGAUCUCUUCAAGUUCUGCUAGUUGUAAUCUUCUCUUGGACCCAGCUUGCUGCAUGUCAAAAUUGAAUUUCUUGAUAGCCCAAUAUGCACGAUGCUCCAACUCUACUGGCAGAUGACAUGCUUUUCCAUACACAAGUCGAUAAGGUGACAUCCCAAUUGGUGUUUUAAAAGCAGUUCUAUAUGCCCACAAUGCAUCAUCAAGUCUCAAAGACCAAUCCUUUCUAUCUGGCCUAACUGUUUUCUCUAGAAUCUGCUUGAUCUCUCUAUUAGAAAUCUCUACUUGGCCACUGGUUUGAGGAUGAUAUGGGGUGGCAACCUUAUGUGUAAUGGAAUAUUUGUCCAAAAGAGUUUUGAAAGGUUUAUUACAAAAAUGGGUACCACCAUCACUAAUGAUUGUUCUAGGAAAACCAAAACGAGACAGAAUAUUACUCUUCAAGAAUUUCACUACAACCCUAUGAUCAUUGGUUUUGCAUGGAAUAGCUUCAACCCACUUCGACACAUAGUCCACUGCAACCAAUAUAUAUUGAUAACCAAAAGAUGGAGGGAAAGGUCCCAUGAAAUCAAUACCCCAUACAUCGAAGAUCUCAACCACAAGAAUAGGAUUGAGUGGCAUCAUGUUCCUCUUUGAAAUGCUACCCAUACGUUGGCACCUAUCACACAAAGAACAGAAAACAUAAGCGUCAUGAAAAAGAGUAGGCCAAUAAAAACCACACUGUAAAAUUUUUGUUGCUGUCUUUUUAGCACUAAAGUGGCCUCCGCAAGCUUGUUCAUGGCAAAAUGAGAUAACACUUUGAAUUUCAUUAUCGGGAACACAUCACCUAAUAAUCUGAUCAGCACAAUAUUUAAAUAAAUAGGGAUCAUCCCAAAAGAAGUCUUUCGCUUUAGAUAAGAACUUUGUUCUAUCUUGCUUAGUCCAGUGCUCUGGGAUUUGACCUGUAGCAAGGUAAUUAACUAUAUCAGCAAACCAUGGUACAACAUUUACACUCAUAAGUUGCUCAUCUGGGAAAGACUCAUUCAAAGGUAAAGAUUCUGGAAUAAAUUUAAGAUCAAGGCGAGAUAAAUGAUCCGCCACAACAUUUUCAGAACCUUUUUUAUCUCUAAAUUCAAUGUCAAAUUCUUGUAAAAGCAACACCCAACGAAUCAAUCUUGCCUUAGCAUCUUUCUUAGUAAACAAAUAUUUUAAAGCAGCAUGAUCAGUAAAAAUAAUCACUUUACAACCUAUAAGAUAAGAUCUGAAUUUAUCAAGUGCAAAUACCACAGCUAGCAUUUCUUUUUCUAUAAUUGAAUAGUUCAACUGUGCAUCAUUGAGUGUCAUACUAGCAUAAUAAAUCACAUAAGGCACACGAUCUAAUCUUUGUCCUAAAACUGCUCCUACAGCAUAAUCAGAUGCAUCACACAUAAUUUCAAAAGGCAAAUCCCAAUUAGGUGGCUGAAUGAUAGGUGAAGAAGUCAAUAAUUUCUUAAGGUUUGCAAAAGCAUCAAGACAAGAUUCAUCAAAGAUAAAAGGUGCAUCCUUAACAAGUAAAUUGCAUAAGGGUCUAGAAAUUUUACUAAAAUCUUUAAUGAAUCUUCUAUAAAAACCAGCAUGUCCAAGGAAAGAUCUUACUUCUUUUACGGAUUUGGGAUGUGGAAGAUUAGAAAUUAAAUCCACCUUAGCUUUGUCGACUUCUAUACCUUUGCUAGAAAUUAUAUGACCAAGAACAAUACCUUGUUUUACCAUGAAGUGACACUUUUCCCAAUUUAGAACCAAGUUCUUUUCUUUACAUCUCUGCAAAACUAAUGUUAGAUGCUGCAAACAUUCAUCAAAAGAAUCUCCAUAAACAGAAAAAUCAUCCAUGAAUACUUCAAGAAAUCUCUCAACCAUAUCAGAAAAAAUACUAAGCAUGCAUCUUUGAAAAGUAGCAGGUGCAUUGCAUAAACCAAAUGGCAUUCUCCUAUAUGCAAAAGUUCCAAAUGGACAAGUAAAAGUAGUUUUCUCCUGGUCCUCUGGAGCUAUAGGGAUCUGAUUAUAACCUGAAUAUCCAUCUAGAAAACAAUAAAAAUCAUGACCUGCAAGUCUAUCAAGCAUUUGAUCAAUAAAUGGAAGAGGAAAAUGAUCUUUUCUUGUGAAUGAAUUUAAUUUUCUAUAAUCAAUGCAAACACGCCAACCUGUAGUUACUCUAGUGGGAAUUAAUUCAUUAUUAGCAUUAGUAACUACUGUAACACCAGAUUUCUUAGGAACAACUUGCACAGGGCUAACCCAAGAGCUAUCUGAAAUAGGAUAAAUAAUUCCUGCAUCUAAUAAUUUGAUUACUUCAGCUCUUACCACUUCUUUCAUGUUAGGAUUUAGCCUACGUUGCAUUUCCCUAAUAGGUUUAGCAUUUUCUUCAAGAUGAAUACGAUGCAUGCAAUCUACUGGAUUAAUACCUUUAAUAUCAGCGAUGGUCCAUCCUAUUGCCUCCUUAUGCUCUUUUAGAAUAUCUAACAAUUUACCUUUUUGCUCAAGAUCGAGGGAAGAAGAAAUAAUAACAGGUAGAGUGUCAGAUUCUCCCAAGAAUGCAUAUUCCAGAGUGUCAGGCAGUGCUUUGAGUUCCAAUUUUGGUGGUGCCUCCGCAGAUGGGCCAAUUUUCUUCUCAGAAUGAGGCAGUAGUUCUGACUUUGUCUUCCAUUUAAUUGUGUCCGUAAUUAGAGGUGCAUCAAGUAAAGCGUUGAUUUCUGCAAUUGCACUGUCAUCAUUAAAAGAUAAAUCAGAAUGAGUUAGACAUGCCUCUAAUGGAUCAUCAUUAUGGUUAGAAAUGAAUGAAUCUUCUACUAAUUCCUCUAUCAUAUUCGCUUCAACAAAUUCAUCUUCUUCUUGUGGCUGCUUGGUAACAUUAAAAAUAUUCAAUUCCAUGGUCAUAUUACCAAAAGAUAACUUCAUGUUUCCAUUCCUGCAAUUAAUAAGAGCAUCAGCUGUAGCUAAGAAAAGGACGACCUAGAAUAACUGGGGUGUGUUUCUUAGGAUCAUGUACAUGCUGAAUAUCAAUAACAAUAAAAUCAACAGGAUAAUAAAAUUUAUCAAUCUGUAUCAACACAUCCUCUAUAAUACCACGAGGUAUUUUCAUUGAUCUAUCAGCAAGUUGCAAAAUAAUAGGAGUUGAUUUUAACUCACCUAAUCCAAGUUGCAUGUAAACAGAAUAAGGCAAGAGAUUAACACUAGCACCCAAAUCCAAUAAUGCUUUAUCAAAACAUUGGUUUCCUAUAACACAUGAGAUAGUAGGAGAACCUGGAUCCUUAAAUUUUGGUGGCAUUUUACAUUGGAGUAAGUUGCUAGUUUGUUCAGUUAAAAAUGCCUUUUUAGUGACAUGUAAAUUUCUCUUUUUCGUGCAUAAAUCUUUUAAAAACUUUGCAUAUGAAGGAACUUGCUUAAUAGCAUCGAGUAAAGGGAUGUUUAUACUUACCUGUUUGAAUAUUUCCAUAAUCUCACCUGUUGAAGUCCCUUUCUUUACCUUUGUUAACCUUUGAGGAAAAGGAGCCUUGCGAAUGUAAGCUGGCGGGCCACUCUCUUCUGGAUCAUUUGUUGAUGAGUCUUGUGAUGGAACUGGAUCUGAAGAAGUAGGCUCAGAUGUCUUCCUUGUUUGAACCUCUACUUUGUUGUCAAAUAAUUUUCCUCUUCUCAAGGUCAUAAUAGAUUUUGCUUCUUCAUGCUGAUGGCUCGAACUCGAUCCAACUUCAUGCACUCCUUUAGGAUUGGGAAUUGAUUGACUUGGGAAUUUUCCUUUUUCUCUCUCAGCUACAGUAGUUGCUAAUUGACCCAAUUGAUGUUCAAGUUUUAGAAUAGCUUGAGUGUUUGACUGAAAAGCUUGUUGGGUUGACUGAAUGAAACUUUGAAGUGUAUCCUCUAAAGAAGGCUUUCUUUGUUGGGGUGCAACAAAUUGAGACAUAGGUUGUUGGGCAUGAGGAUGUACUUGGUUAGGAGGGACAAAUUGUUGAUUGGGCAUGUUAAAUUGUUGCCCUCCUUGGUUUGACAAAGGUUGAUUUUGUUUCCAAGAAAAAUUAGGGUGAUUCCUCCAAUUAGGAUUAUAUGUGGAUGAAUAUGGACUAUUGGAGGUUUUCUCAUAUGAUUGUAAGGCAUGUACCUGCUCAGAAUAAGCAUCUGGAUAGACUGGUAAUGAUGGACAAUUUUGUGCUGUAUGAGACAAGUUAGAACAAAUAGCACAAACCUCAUUAGCUACACUAGGAUGAUGAUUUAUGGAUUGGUUCAUAACUAAGGCAUCUACUUUCCUAGAAAGUGUAGCUAGAGUGGAUUUCAUAUCUAAAUCAUCCUUAACUUCAUAUAGCCCCUUUCUAGAAACUUGAGAUGAUUUUUCCCUUUGAUUUGAAAAAUCCCACUGUUGAGAAUUUUCAGAAAGUGAAUUAACGAAAUCCCAUGCUGCCCCUUCAUGUAAGUUCAAAAAUCUCCCACCAUUCAUAGAUUCCACCAUAUGACGAUUCGACAUGGUUAAACCGUUAUAAAAGCAUUGUAUAAGUCUCCAUUUCUCAAAACCAUGAUGGGGACACUUAAGGAGUAAAUCAUUAAAUCUUUCCCAACACUCAUAAAAUUGCUCACCAUCUCUUUGAUAAAAAUCACUUAUCUCUCUCCUAAGGGCAUUUGUUUUAGACAUAGGGAAAAACUUGGUGAGAAACUUAUUACUCAAUUCAUCCCACGUAGUAAUAGACCCAGCAGGAAGUGAAUUCAACCAAGCUUUUGCUUUGUCUUUUAAUGAGAAAGGGAACAUACGAAGCCUAAUUGACUCAUCAUUAAAAUUUUGAAAACGAAAUGUAGAGCAUAUGUCAAGAAAUUCCUUAAUGUGCAAAUAUGGAUCCUCUCUCUCUAACCCAUGGAAGGAUGGCAAAAGUUGAAUGACAGAGGGCUUAAGUUCAAAGUGUGUUGCUGUAGUUUGUGGCAACACAAUACAAGAUGGUUGGUUGGCUGCAAGUGGUGAAAAAUAUUCUCUAAGGGUUUUCUCUGCUUGCACUGGUGGGAGUAUUGGCAAUAGUCUAUUUGGGUCAUCCAUCACUUCUAAAGAACUAGUUUGACUACUAUCAAUUUUUGACUCUCUUUUAACCAAACGAUUUGUUGAAUCACGUUCCCAAACACUCAUAAACUAACUAGACAAGGAAAGAAAGAGAAAUAAAAUAAAAUAAACCAACAAAAAUGAGAAUAAACGAAAUUUAAAAAUAAAAGAAAUCAAACAACCAAACAAUGAAUUUAAAAUAAAAUAAAAUUAAAAUUAAAAUUAAAAGUUUUUUUUUGUGUUUUUUUUUAAAAAUAAAAAUUGAAUAAAUAAAAUAAAAGACAACCUAAAUUAUAACUAGUGGAAGAAUCAAAUUAACCUAGAUUAAACUGACUUUCUAGCACAAUCCCCGGCAACGGCGCCAAAAACUUGAUGUGAAAAUUUUAAUAUACUCGCAAGCGCACGAAUCUAGAAAUAGAGUAGUGGUAACGAGGUCGAUCCCACAGGGAUUGAUAAAAAGUCUAAUUUAAAUCUAAAAUUAAUAUUACUCCUAACCUAGUUGAGCAAAUUGAGUUUUUAAGAAAAUUAAACCAAUUAAACUAAGGAAGCAAUUAAAAUAAAAGAGAAUUCAAUAAGAUAGAAAUUACCAAGGUUUCAGAAUCCACCACUAUUCAACUAGUAAUUAUCUAAUUAUUAAUUAAUCCCCAAUUUUAGAGUGACAACUCGAAAUCAAUCUAUGUCAUCUCAUAGAUAUAACAAUUAAGCCCAAGUAAUUAAAUCUAAUGUAGGUUCUUUUUCUGCUUAAUAAUAUGACAUCUAAGCAUCCCAUGUAAACAUAUUGAAUAACAAAGAGUCAAAGUUUUCCUAAGCACUCUAUGUAAACAAUUUAAUGAAAGACAUAAAAUCAAAGAUAAUCAUGUAUAAACUUUAUAGAUCCAAGCAUAGAAUUAAUCGAAUAUUAAUCCUAACAAUCAAUAAUGCAUGACAGAAUUGAUGAAAAGAUUUUAAUAACAUCCAAUUAAUCAUGUGAAAUAAAAACCAUAAUUAUCAAAGAACAUAUAUAGGGAAUUAAUUAAAUAAAAAGAGAUAAUUAUUUCAUUGAAUAGGGUUUCAUCCUUAACCUCAGUAUAAGAGAAUUAGUUAGACAUACUUGAAUUGGGAACAACAAAAAAAAUAAAAUCACCCAUGGAAACCGAACUGCUGCUGCCCAACCUUGCGUCUUGCGUCUGCCGAAUUCUCCUUCUCCUUUCGUUUCUGUCCAGCAGCUCCCUUUUAUAUUGCUUGGCCACGGAAUCCUAUUGUGAUUCUAAUAACUAAACCAACUCUUACAAGCUAAAGCUCUAAGCUUGCCACGUAAUUGAAAACAAUAAAAGCCAAAAGCUAUUGAUUUCCUUCCUUUAUUCUACUUUGACUUUCCAUUCAAAGGCUUAAUUAAAAGCUUUGUUUUUAUGUGCUGCCCACUUUAGCUUUAACUUUCAUCUUUGUUUGCACGAGCAUGGAGAAUUCAAUUUAUUGGAUUCGGCUUCUUCCACAUGCACGUAUGUCUAAUUGGUUCCAAAUCAAUUAAUCUUUAAUGCUUACAAAUUGAACUCCUUUAUGCUCUUUUUAUCCAUAAUCUCCAAUUAAUUCCCUAUUCAAUAAAAUAAUUCAAUUAAUUAAAAAUAACAAAUAAAAAUAACUAGCAAUUAAAUAAUUAAGGGUAAAAUAUGUAUAUAAAUUAUGCUCAUCAGUGAUCUUUUGACAAUUCUCCCACAUCCCACCAAAAACUCUCACGCGGCAUGAACUUUUGACAAUUCUCCCAUAUCCCACCAAAAAUUUGUCAUAUUGCGAAAGGCAAUGUCAAUUGCAAUGUCAUUUCCAUUAGUCAUUGUGGCAGACAAUGGAGGUCCCGAGAUAGGACUAGAAGUUUUUGAAACCCUGAACUUAUUCUUACUUUAUUUUUUCUUUUGAAAAUGAGAAAAGGACACUUGUUUGAGGAAAUAAUUUUGUAGAACCUCAUAUCGUGAAUAGGGGAUAAUAAGACUUUUUUUUUUUUACUUUACUGCAAUACUCUGUAAUUUUAUUAAUUUUAUAUUUUAUAAUAAAUAUAAAUGUGAUAUUAAAAUAAAUGUAAUAAUAUAUACAUAUUAAAAUAAUUUGAUAUUGAAAAACAUUUUAAUAUUUUACAAUCCCAUAUUAUAUUAAACCAAACUGUAAUAAAUAGACAUAAUAUUAAAAUAAAUAUAUAAAAGUUUAAAUUAUUUUGAAUAUCAUAUAAAAUAAUUUUAAUAUUAUUAAUAAAUUAGAAGUAUUGUUGAGGUUAUGGGGCCCCAACAAUUCUUCUUUGCGCUUGUGGGUGUAACAUCCUUCUGUGUAAUUCCAUUGAGGUGGCAGUAAGGUUACCUAGGGCGUAACUGCCCGGCCCAUUGGCACAAUUACAAAUGUGUGCAGCCCCUCAUGUCCAUCCACCGCUUAGUGUGGGGCUCUGCGCUUCCAUUGUAUAAGAAAAUAAAGUUGCACCUUGGCUAUCAGCUUAAGCUUUUAGCCCAAUGGUAAGCGCUUGAUCCUAACAAGUAUUACAUUAAUUGUAAAAUCUAUCUAAUCCAAGGAUUUAUUUAAAUUUUUUAUAAUAAAUUAAAAAUAUAUUAAUUAACAUUUUAAAAAUUAAUAAUGAAAUUAAUUAUAUAAGUUAUACAUAUUAGUCUACUAGAAAAAUUUAAACUAUUUCAAUCAGAUUUAUAUUUAGUGAAAAUUUUUGAAGUUAAUGUUUUUGGUUAUCAUCUACUAAGAAUCUUGUAGUUAAAAGGGGUAUUGACAUUCUUUAUUAAAAAAUUGAGGUCUACAUGACUAUUUUUUAAAUUUUAAGGGUGUCAUUUUAUUUUUGAUGAAAAUAAAAUUUCAUUUAAGUGGCUAAAAUGGUGAAUAAUACAAUGUUACAACUGGCAUAAAUGGAAGGUAGGAAACAAUCAAAAUGACCAAUAGUCUAACGCCACAGCAAGGACAUAAGGUCAAAAAUCCCCUUAUUAAUUAGUAAAAGAGAGUCCUUUGUGCUUAUAAAUAGUAAGGGCGGGCAAAAUCGGAUACAGAUCAAAUUCGGAUUAAUCUGAUAAAUUUCAGAUUGUUUGAAUUGAUAAAAAAAGUCAUCCAAAUGUAAUCUAAACUUUUGUAUGUGUAUAUAUACAUACUUGUUAUAAAUUAAAGUUGCAAAAGUCUUUAAGCAAGGCCAUUCAUAGUAAGUUUCAAAUUUUUAGGUUAAUUAUGUAACUUCAUUAUGCGGGCCAUGCAUAAAGCCCGUAGGUCUAGGCGGGACUGACCUGAGUUUUUUUACCAAUCCUACACAUGACGGGAGGUGUUAGGAAUAACAUCCCGCAUCAAUUGAGUAUUGAACUUGGGUUCAGUAUAUAAGAUUUGGACAACUCUAAACUCUUGAGCUAACUUACUAGUUUUUGGAUUGAGUUAAGCCUGUACGCUGCAAUAUUACAAAUUAGUCUUUCGUUACCAUUACUUAUUUUUUGUAUUGUUUAAAAUUAACACAAUAAAUGACCUUUCAUCCCAAAAGAACUAAAGUAAUCAUUUCGCAUUGUUACGGCCGUAUCUACACUCUUUCCUCUAUAUGUGUCUUCAAUAAAUAUAUGCGUUAAUGAUCUCUCAAUAUUUCGCAUCCGAUAUUGCCCACAUCGCUUACCACAAUAUAUUCACUUUACAAACAGAGUUUGCAACCCAAUUACUAAUAGAGGAAUAUAAAUAUGUACUUGUCAAUGAAGCAAUCACCUUUAUUUAGAAAUUUUUUAUUAUUAAUCCUACGUACACACACUUCUUUUGUCUCCAAAAAUAUUCUUAAUUAAUCCACACAAUUUAAUAUAAUAAAUACCUAAGAUUACAUAAAUUUUCAUUACAAUAGAAUAUAUAAUUUAUAAUAUUAUUGAUACAAUGAUGCCAAUAAUAAAAAUCUUAUAAACCUUACAAAUUUUAGAAAAUGGCUUAGAGUGUGAUAGGUUGAAUGAACCACAACAAAUCAUUUUCAUUAUAGUACCUAUGAUCAAUAUUCUAAUACAAAUUUUACAUUUCCCUAUAUUUUCUGUUUGGUGAUUGUCAAAUUUUAAGUCUAAAAUUUUUCUAAUUUUACCGUGAGGUUUAUGUUUUAAAGAGAGAGAGAGAGAGAGAGAGAGACUCAAAGAGAAAUAAAAAAUGUAAUUCUAAAAUUUUACUUGUGCAUUGUGUGAUUUUUACCAUUUUUGCAGUUGGCCAUUUGUAUUGAAUAAAUAAAAUAAUAAAUAGACUUAUGGACCACUUUUUUCUGUUAUAAUAAACAUCAGAGGUCCUUUCUUGAUGUUUUCAUUCCAUAUGAAUAUAUUAUAAUUUUAUUGAUACAGUAAUGUCAAUAAUAAAAAUCCUAACAAACAUACAAAUUUUAGAAUAUGGAUUAAAGUGUUACAAGUUGAGGGGAUCACAAGUUAUUUAUACUGUAAUGUCUAUGAUCAGUAUUUCAAUGAUAUCAAGGUUUCCCCUGCAAUUUUUGUUUGGUCAUCGCCAAAUUUUGUAUCUAAGAUUUUUCUAAUUUUACACGACAUUUAUUUAAAAAAAGAAAAAGAGAAAGAGAGACGCGGAGAGAAUUAAAAAUGUAAGUCUAAAUUUUCGCUUGUGUGUUAUGUGAAUUUUACCAUUUUUAAAGUUGGCCAUUUGUAUUGAAUAAAAAAGUAAUUGUUGAAUCUGGUUCGUUAGCUAUUCUUUGAUCAAGAACCAGAUCCUCCCAAGAUUCUCAGCCAAGAUUAAUCAGGAUGCAAUAUCAGCUUAGAUCAACUUCAGAGAAUCAACUAAACCCAAUAAGACUCGUAACAAAAAGGAUUAAUUACAAACUUAGAAACCAAAACCAGCAAGAAAACCAAUCACACAAAACAGAGCACAAGCUUUAACGUGGUUCAGCCAUUAAUGGCUUACAUCCACGAGUGAAUUCCUCAGACAGCUUUAUUGAAUGAUUCAAGAAGUUUGUUACAGAGAUUCUAAGAACAAGAACAAGUAAGACACUUCCUCUUUGAUUUCCCUCAAUCUCUAUCACGCACGAUUACCUCCAAACCAGAAGGCUGCAGCUUAUAUACCAGUCUUGUAACAGCUCUAACAACCCAGAUUGCACAGCUCCUUGACACGUGUACUAUGGGUCUGUUAUUUAACGAACUCAGCUUCAGCUAACUAUCACGUGAAGAACCCGUGACUCCACUUAAGUUGAGCAUAUCCAAAACGCACUCAUGUGUUGCCGUUUCGGAACCAGGAUUGGUUGUGCUUCUCACGUGAUCACUUAAAGCUUCUGAACACUACUGGAAACGCUGUCGUUUGCUGGCAAAGGUGUUUGAAUUCACCUUUCAGCCAACAGUAAUGAAUAGACUUAUGGACAACUUUUUUCUAUUAUAAUAAAACAUUUUCUUCCCCUGAUGUUUUUCAUUCCACAAGAAUGUGUUUGUCAUAAGGGGUCCAAAUGGGGUAAAUAAAUUGGGAUCAAGGACAAGUCUGUUUAAGUGUUGAAAUUGCAAGAAGACCUCAUUAAAAAAUUGCCUAAAGCCCCAUUAUUGUUAUUCAACUAUUACUUUCAUGUCACAUUAGUUUCCACACAGACACUUAUACAAAUAAUUUAUAACUCCAUCUUUAUUUGGGAAAAAACUGUAGCAAUUGUUGUUAUAUCACAGGAAAAUUUUCCAAUUAAAAAUAUAAUAAGAAUUAAUUACAAAUUUUUUAAUAAAUAUCAAUAUAAUUUAAUGGUUUAAUUUUUUUGGUAGAUCAAUAUAAUUUAAAAAAUUAAUAGCAGUAUUACUUUUUAAAAUGCAAAUUAUUAUAAUUAUAUUAAUAAUAUAUUUGUAUUUAUUAUAAAAUUUAUUUUAAUAAAAUCUUAAUUUUUUUUAAAUAUUUGUAUAUAUUGUUAUAUUUUGUUAUAAUAUUAUAUUUAUAUUUAUUAAAAUAUAAGAGUCAAUAUUUUUAAAUUAAUUAAGAUAAAAAGUAUUAUAAUAAAAAAAAAUUCUUUUAUUAAAAAUAUAAUCAUUCUCCCAAACUUAUCCUUGUCCCUUUUUGAAAGGAAAAAAUAAAUUAGAAAAGUCUAUGGUCAUGAUAACAUCUAGCCUUGUCCCGUGGGACAUGGCUACGGUGCAGAAGCUGCAAGUAACAGCUUCGAGCUUUCCCAUUUCCAUCACCUUGUAUUGGGACCUCUUUCUCUCUCCUCUAGCACCCGUGGAAGUUCCCCAUUGGCCGCUGUUACUUACAGAAGCCGUAACAUAGACUUCCCCCGUCCCGUGAUGUCCAUUGUCUGCCACUAUGAAUAAUGGCAAUGACAUUGCAAUUGAAACAUUGAAAAGGUAUUUUCGCAAUAUGACAAAGUUUUUGUUAGGAUAUGGGAGGAUGUCAAAAGUUCACACUACGUUCAUUAGCAUUAGAUCUAAUUUUAUUUCGUCAGUUCCUUAUAUAUUUAUUUCAUUUAUUUCAUGGGUCCCUCUAUGAUGCUGUAAUUAUUUUACAGCAUCAAUAGUGUAAGCAAUAUUAACCAUUAGAUUUUAUCAACAAUGUAUAUUAUAUUUAUUAAUAAAAAAAUAACAUAACCGGUUAACAGGGGUGAGCUGUUGGAUCGUGGAGUUGGUAGAAGUAUGCGAAAUUUCAAUGACGACCCCUACAGUUUUAAAAAUUCUCACAUGUUUCACUUGAAUAGCAUAUUCAGAAGAAUAACACAAAAUUUAAUAAAAUAUAUGAUUUCAAUGAAAUAUAUGAACAUGCAUAUGAAACCCACAUUCAUAGAAAUGUUUCAUUAGACUUUUAACGUUUAUCUUACCUAUGUAUCCUAAACCAUUCAUUAUCAACUUUUCGUAAUUUUAUUAAAUAGAAAUUUCAAGCAAAACAAGAAAGAGUGACAAUAUGUAAUUAAUUUGAAGAUUUAAUAUAAAACUCACAAUUGCUAAAAUAGUGCUUAAAUUAUAUCAUUAAUGUUAUAAGAUAAUUUGAUUAUCAUGUAACCAAACUAAUUUCAAAAUUUAUUUUGAAAGCAUGCAAAACUAAUUUCAAAAUCUAUUUUGAGAGCAUGCAAAUGGAUGUAGUCUCCACUAUGUGAUUUUUUUAUUCUAAUUUAUGGCCAUGGGAGAGAAUUGGAAGAUCCAUAUUUGUCCAAUAGUGAAAUAUAAAUAAUAGCCCGUCAAUUUCUCAUGUAGUAUAUUUCAUUGGCUUAUUAGCUUACAAAACUAUAUACAAGUGUUAAACAUUGGACUACUGCAUGAAAUGUCAUGUGAUAUAUUUCAUUUGACCUUAGAUUAAUUAAAUGCCUAUAAAUGGUUUACAACAUUAAUCUAAAAAUUAAUUUUCACUGAUAUUUAUAUGUGACAUAUCAAUUCAUAAUAUAUCAGGGUAAUUACGAUUUUAAUUUCCCUUCUAUUAAUAAAUAGGGGUAGAAAGAAGUACUCAAUAUGUGUGUGUGUGUGUGUGGGGGUAUCAAUUCAUGUCUUAAUGAAUACAAGAAAAAUCACAUCUACUAAUUUAACAUAUGCCUUUCUAUAAUAGUGUUUGUAAAAUAUAUUUUAUUUGCUAUACUUUGGAAGACGUGUAGUAUAUUAUUUUAUAAUUCGUUUUGUAAUUUACAGAAAACGUGUUUAACAUGUUUUAACUUUUAUUACUAUCAAAUAGAUUCUGUUUAAUACAUUUUAUAAUUUGAUUUAAGGUUUAGGCUCACCAAACAUACAUUACACCUAUACUAUUAAAAUGAAAAUGAAAAUCGGGGCUACAAAAUGAUACUGAACAUACCCUAAGUUACUUGGAGUGUUAGUUUAGAAAUAAGUAUCACUGUAGGCUUAAAUUUAUGGAACAACUUUUCAGGACUGUUGGUCUUCCUCCAUUAGCUUAAUUUAGGUCUGUAUUUUCAUUUUUUUUUAAAUGGCGCAAGAUGAUGAUGAUGAUGAAAUUGUGCUAUUUGUAAUGAUGCUCCUUCGUAUUCAAUAAGAAUCAUAUGCAUAUUCAAUAGUGAAAAUAUGAUAACUCUAUCGUAAUUUGAUCAUAUUACAAUACAAUUGAUUACUAAAAAAUGUCUUUAUAUUUUUUUAUUACAUUUUACAUUAAAGUUGUAGCACAUUAUAAAUGCAAAGCUUAAUGUUUAAUAACAUAACACUUCAACAAAAUCAACAUCUUAAGUAUGAUGUAUGAUAUAGAAUAUUGAAAUAGUUAUACCUAACACUCACAACAAUUUAUAAAAAUUUAUAGUGUUUUAUUUACAAUAUCUUUUCUAAUUAUAUAUGUAUUAAUAUCUAUCUUAAAGUCAAUUUUUGGAUUAGUAGAUUUUAAUAAAUCCAUUGGUAUAGAUUAAUAAUAACUUAAUAUUAAAAAAAUUAAUUAUACAUGUUAUUUUAUUAAUUACACUUAUUUUAAUAUUUUAUUUGUAUCAUAUGAUAUUUAUUAUUAUUUUUAUCCUAUUACUAUAUGUAUAUUUAUUUAGGUUGUGUAAAUCAAAACGUAUAAUAGUCAUUUAUGAAAAUUAAGGGGUCUGUAUUACCAUUUAUGAAACUAAGUGGAUCUAUAUGACUAUUUGAGCAAACCUUGGGAUGUGUGUGGCUUUUUCUCAAAUUAAUAUUAAUUUAAAAUUAAAAAAAUAUUUACCAACAACUUGUAGACUACGUGCUACAUUUUCAUUAAUGAUUUAAUUAUCCAUUAUAUUAAAUGGAUGAUUGAGAUUAAAAUACUUAAAACUAAUAGUCCACAUUAAUCCCAGUAUCAAUAUUGUAAAAAUACAUACAGUAUCAUAAAGAAAUCCUUAUUUCAUACAUAACUGUUUUUUUUCUUUGGUUUUUCUUUUUCCAAAACAUAAAUAGACCAAGCACAUCUCCAAAUCGGGUUGGAGCGGAGAUUCUAACCCUACGAUGGCCAUAUUAAAAUUUAAAUUUUUUUAAUUUAUUUUUUUCUUUUAUAGCUACAUCUCAAUAUUUGAAAAAAUGAUUAUACAGAUCUAUAUAUUUUUAAUAAGAGAUAUUAAGAUGCUCUUUUUUUACUAUAACACCUACUAGUUCUAUUAACUCAAAAAAUUACCAACAAAGUGUUGGCUCCACUGGCAAUGGAGUCCCCUUAAGUGGCUUGACUGGGUUUGCUCUCCAGUUCGAGUCGCAGGGAAGUCGCCUUUGUUGGGAGAACAUGUGUCUCCCGGUUUGAGCGGGGACUUCUAGUCUGGGUUGUGGUACGGGCUUAAAGGUGCUUCCCACAGUUGGGGCCCUCCCCAGGAUACCUCGUGGAUAAGACCAAAAAAAAAAACUCAAAAAAUUGACUUCAAUAUUAAUACAUAUAUUUUAAAAUUAUUUUAAUAUUUUUAAAAAAUAUGAAAAAAAAUUUAAUACUUUACAAACUUAUACUAUAUUAAACUAAAUUUUAUAAUAAAUAGAAACUUAAUAUGAAAAUAAACGUCUAAAAAUUUAAAUUAUUUUCAAUAGCAUAUAGAAUAAUUAUAAUAUUAUUAAUACCUAAGAUAUAUUAUAUUAAUUAUAAAUUCUAUUUAACACAAAUAUUUAACUAAAACUGUUAAUUGCAAUUUCUUUUGAAAACAAUAGAUCAAAUCAUUAAAGUGCAUGUGAUGAUGAUUUGCUGUUUAAUUAUUUCUUUAGAAUAUAUCCAAACGUAAGGUUGUGAACUAGUGCUUUCUUCAACUUAAUUGGGUCCAACAAUACACCGCAGCUUCCUCUUUUGGUCAUUCCAAGUUUAAUUCUUAUGAAAGAAGUUACUACUGAUUUAAGUGCAUGUGAAUGAAAAAAAACAAAUACAUAUAAUUAUUCUAUACAUGCGUCAACAAGGCAACAGUAACCAAAUAAAUGAUAUGAAAGGGGGUGCAUGAUUAAGUCCUUUUCUUAUUCAAUUCAUUGUUAUUAUCCUCAUCAACUCUUUUCUCACUUAUUUUUCAGCAGUUACUGUUCAUAGCAUUGUUAUUAUUCUCAUCACUCAUUAAAAUUAUUCUUAAAUAUUCAAGGCCGAAAAGAGAAGCUCAUCAACUGUCUGAUCCCGGAUAAUUAAAGAGGUGAACUUGUUCUAAAUCCUUUGAUAAUUUCUAUUAAUAGCAUAAUCUCCUUGAUCCAAGAAAAAACAUCUCCUGUUUGUCUUAAUCUUGUCAUUUAAUUUUCUUGAUUUAGGUUACUGUUCAUUGUUAACUUCUGUGUUCUUUAGCAUUUGUUAAUUUGCAUCCCUCCUCUAAAAGUCUCUAAAAAAGAAUGUUGCUUUUCAUUCAUACCCUUGAAACCUUUCAGUUAAUAGCCAAAACUCUAAUCUUUCUUUCUCUUCCUCUCAAAAAUGUGCCAAAAAAUGUGCCAAAAAAGUGAAUCCAAUUUUUUCAACAGCAAAUAUAUAUGUACACACACACACAUAUUGUUAAAAAGUGCAGAAAAGCCACUCAAAAACGUGGAGAAAAAUCACUCAAAUUUAUACAAGCGUCAACAGGGAAACAGUAACCAAAUACGUGAUACAAAAAGGGGUGAAUGAUUCUGUCUUUUCCUUUUGCAAGUCGCUGUUAUUACUCUCAUCAACUCCUUUCUCACGCAUUUCUCAGCAGUUACCAGUAAUAUUUAAAAUCGCUGUGUAGGUAUGCAAAAGUUCGGUAAGUGCACUAAUAAUUAUUUGCCAGAAAAAAAGUAGUUGCGUCAAUGAUAUAUUAAUCUUUAGUUGAAUUGACAUCCAGGAACCCAAUUGAGUUGCUUAAUGAUUAAUUAAUUAAUCAAUUUAUAAUAUAUUAAUCUUUUUAGUUGAAUACUUAAAAUCUUAGACCCUAAACAAUAAAUUAUUUGAGCCAUAUAAAAGAGAAAUUAUCAUUCAAUUUUUUUUUAUUUGUAGCUUAUAAAAGAGAAAUUAUCAGUCAUUUACUCAAAGUUUAUUCAAUUAUUAAAAUUAUUAUAAAAAUUUAAAUUUAUUUAAUUUUACACCCAAUGUAUGUAAUUUGUAUUAAAUAUCCGUUAAAAACAUAAAGUUAUUCUUUCAAAGUCACAAAAUAGGAGCGAACACAAAAUUGUAGUGGUGAUUAUGUUUUGGGAGUAACUUUAUCUUUUUAGUAAACAGUUGAUACACAUUGUAAUAAUGGGUAUAAAAUUAAAUAUAUUUAAAUUUUUAUAACUUUUUGGAAAAUAAGAUAAUUCUUAGGUGGAUAAUUAAAAAUUUUUCUUUUCAAAAUAUUUUGAAAACAAUACCAAAUGUACCAUAUCAUUGUUUAUUUACACUAUAUAUAUAUAUAUAUUAACUCAUUCUUAUCCACAAUCUGUCAAUGAAAUAAUUAUUGACACUCAUAUUUGAAAACUUUCGAAAAGAUAAAAUCCAAUAUGAAAGGUGAAACGUUAUAAUCAUAGUAACUAGAAAAUGGAUUGAUUUACAAAUAUCAAUUUAAACAAUUUUCAAGUUGAUCGACAAUUUAAGUAGAUUGACAAAGAUUGAAGUAAUUACUGUUGGUGAUUGAUUGACUUUGUCCUUAUCCUCGCCGCCUUCUUAUCAAAAGUCGAGUGUCAAUUGGGCCAGGGCUUCUGAUUGCAACUAAUAGACUUCAUAUACGCAUAAUGGUCCCUACGUACAUACGUACCAAUAUUUGAUUGAAAAAGGGAUGCGUGCUUAAUGCUCAAGUCGUCUUCUUUUGGAAAUUCAUUGUUAUUACUCUCAUCAACUCGUUACUCGCAUUCCUCUUUAGUCAACAGAGAUCCUUUUGCUCAAUAAAAUUUUUCUUCUAUAUUCAAGGUGAAUACAGCAGCUCAUCAACUCUGAUCCCAGACAGGUAAAGAGGUGCACUUGUUCUAAGACCUUUAAUAUUCUUUUAGUAGCAGAAUCUCUGAUACUUGAUCUUCAUAGCGGUUCUUUCUUAAUUUGCAUCAACUUUCCUAGGAAAAAAUUCUCUGGUUUUUCUUAAGUCAUAUAAUUUAUUUUUCUUAAGUCAUAUCAUUUAUUUUUAGCAGCAGAAUACUUGAUCUUGAUAACGGUUCUUUCUUAAUUUCCAUCAACUUUCCUUGAAGGAUACCUUUUUGUUAAUAGCGAAACCUCUGAUCCUUAAGAUGGAAAAAGAAAUUCUCUAUUUAGAUAUCAGUUGGUUCAAGAUCAAUAUCGCGAUGUUGUUUGCAGUCUUUUCUUUCUCUGUCUUUCCCUUUAGUUCAUUUUAAUUUAUUUGUAUUCCUUUCUUUGACAUAUUAUUAGAUUUGUUAAGUAGCAGGCAAUGGCAGAAGUGGGUCUGGCUGCUUUUUCCAGCGUUGUAUCAGAAGGUGCAAAGUCACUGUUCAAACCGAUUAUACGGCAGAUAUCUUAUGUGUUCAAGUACCAGAGCUACAUAGAUGGCCUAAAAGAUCAAGUGAAGCAGCUGGGAUAUAGAAGAGAAACGGUGCAACAACCUGUUAAUCAUGCUAGACUACAAGGGGAUGAGAUUUAUGAGGGUGUCACAGACUGGCUAAAUCAAGUUGAUGAAUUCAGUGAAGGGGUUGCAAAAUCCAUCAUUGAUGAUGAAGAUAGAGCUAAGAAGUCCUGCUUCAGAGGAUUGUGCCCAAACUUGAUUUCUCGUUACAAGCUUAGUAAACAAGCAGCAAAGGCCGCAGAAGCUGCCGCUAGUCUCGUGGGAAAAGGAAACUUCUCUAAUGUUUCCUACCGUCCUGCUCCAGAGAGUACAGAACAAAUGGAAGUGAAAGAUUACGAGGCCUUUGAUUCAAGAAUGAAAGUAUUUCAAGAUGUUGUGGAGGCGUUGAAGGAUGAUAAGCUCAACAUAAUUGGGGUCUACGGCAUGGGCGGCGUGGGUAAAACCACGCUAGUCAAGCAAGUUGCAAGGCAAGUGAUGGAAGAAAAGUUGUUCGAUAAGGUCGUUAUGGCUGAGGUAACACAGACCCCAGAUCAUCAGGAAAUUCAAAAGAAACUUGCUUCUGAUUUAGGCAUAAAGUUUGAGUUGAAUGAGAGUAUAUUCGACCGAGCGGAUCGAUUGCGUGAAAGAUUGAAGAAAGAGAAGCGGGUCCUCAUUAUAUUGGAUAAUAUUUGGAAAAAACUCGAGUUCGAAAAAGUUGGAAUUCCUUCCAGGGAUGUUGAUGAUAAAGAUAAAAAGGAUGAUCAGAGACGAUGCACAAUAACAUUGACGUCUAGAAGUCGAGAUUUAUUGUGCAUUGAUAUGAAUUCUCAGAAAAAUUUCUCGAUCGAUGCUUUGCCACGAAAAGAAGCAUUGCAGUUAUUUGAGGAGAUAGUGGGUGAUUCAACUAAAAUAUCUGCUUUUCAAAGUAUAGCAAAUGAGAUCGUUGAAAGAUGCGGAGGUUUGCCUGUUGCACUGAGUACAGUUGCAAAUGCUCUGAAAACUAAGGAGCGUGACUUUUGGAAAGAUGCAUUGAAUCAGCUAAGAAGAUCGGAUGCAAGAGAAAUUCAUGGCAUGCAAGCAAAUGUGUACACCUCCAUAAAAUUGAGUUAUGACUUCUUGGAAAGUGAGGAGGCAAAAUCUCUGUUCCGUCUUUGUGGUCUAUACAGUGAAGGUAAUGUCAUACAAGUUUCUGACUUAUUGAGAUAUGGUGUGGGUUGGGAUUUGUUUGAAAAUGUUUACACAUUGGAAGAAGCAAGGAGUAGGGUGCAUCGGUUGAUCGACAAUCUCAAAUCUUCAUGCUUAUUGUUGGACGGAGAUGCUGAAGAUGAAGUUAAAAUGCAUGACGUCAUUCAUGUUGUUGCCGUAUCAAUUGCCGCAGAGAAGCGCAUGUUUAAUAUUCCAAAUGUUGCCGACUUGGAGAAAAAGAUGGAAGAGACAAUACGGAAAGAUCCAAUUGCCAUUUCUUUACCUUAUAGAGGUGAUCAAGUGCUUCCCCAAAGAAUGCGAUGUCCCCGUCUUGGGCUAUUUUUGUUGCAUAGGAAGGGUCUUUGCUCUAUGCAAGUUUCAGACCACAUUUUUGAAGGGACGGAAGGACUCAAAGUUUUGGAUCUUGCCAGAAUUCACUUCUCUUCAUUACCUUCAUCACUUGGGUGCCUCAUUAACCUUCAAACAUUGUGUUUAGACUAUUGCCGACUAAAAGAUAUAGCAAUAGUUGGACAGCUAAAGAAAUUAGAGAUUCUCAGCCUUGUAUAUUCCGAUAUCAAGCAGUUACCACUCGAAAUUGGACGAUUGACGCGGUUACAGUUGCUAGAUUUGAGCAAUUGUCGGAGCCUUGAGUUGAUACCACCAAAUGUCAUAUCAAAAUUAUCUCGAUUAGAAGAACUGUUUAUGCAUAACAGCUUUUCACAGUGGGAUAAGGUUGAAGGAGGAAGUAAUGCCAGUCUUGUCGAGUUGAAAGCGUUGACAAAGCUAACUACUUUGGAGAUAGAAGUUCCGGAUGCCGAAAUUCUGCCGCCGGAUUUUGUCUCCGUGGAAUUGGAAAGAUAUAAGAUAUUUAUAGGAAAAAUGUCUGUCCGACGGCUCGUCGAAUCUAAAACAUCAACAUUGAUGGUGCUCAAGGGGCCAGAAAGAGUUAGCCUUCUUUUGGGGAAUGAUGGGACGAAAAUGUUGCUGAAGAGAACUGAAGAUCUCCGUCUAUACUCACAGAAGGGUGUUCAGAAUAUUGUUCAUGAAUUAGACAAUGGGGAAGGUUUUCCACGAUUGCAGCAUCUUCUAGUAACAGACUGUUCUGAGAUUUUACAUAUUGUCGGUUCAGUUGGACGGGUUCGUUGCAAAGUCUUUCCCUUGCUGGAGUCAUUGGAUCUUAUUGAUUUAACUAAUUUGGAGACGAUAUGCUGCAGCCAACUCAGAGAAGAUCAAUCUUUCAGCAACUUAAGGAUUAUAAACGUAGAUUCCUGUCCAAAAUUGAAGUAUCUCUUCUCAUUCUCUAUGGCUAAAAACCUAUUGGGGCUUCAAAAAGUAAAAGUGAGAAAUUGCGAUGAAUUGGAAAUGAUGAUUGGUAAGUGUUUAAAUUAAUUAUUGGUAGGAUUAUUGACAUUGACUCAUUCUUUUUUUCUUUUUCUUUUUUUUUUGGGUGAAAAAACAACGGAUGUUUAUUAUAUAUUGUUUUUGUUCAUUUAUAGGGCCCGACAUGGAGAAACCAACAACUACUGAGGGACUCACAGAAAUCAUUGCAGAGGAUGAUCCUAUUCACAAGGUGAUAAUUUUCUGUUUAAUAAUUAAUUAAUUAAUAUUUUAUCGCGAUUGAUCUUCAAUCAUCAAAAGAAUAUUAUAUUAGAAGUUGUAGUUGAAGGAACAAAAAUGUACGGUUUUGCUGUGCAGGUUACUUUUCUACGCUUAGAGGAACUGAAACUUGACGGUUUAAAAAACAUCAAAAAAUUAUGGCCCGAUCAAUUUCAGGGAAUGUAUUGUUGUCAAAAUUUAACAAAAGUGACCGUGGAAAGGUGUUAUCGUCUGAAGUAUAUGUUUUCAUAUUCUAUGGUUAAUAGUCUUUUGCAACUCCAACAUCUUGAGAUUAUUAAUUGUUGGUCAAUGGAAGGGGUAGUCAACAACACCGCGGGGGGGUUAGGAGGAAGAGAUGAAUUAAAGGUUUUUCCUAAACUACACUCCCUGCGGCUCCAUUGCCUUCCAAAACUAUGUAGCUUCACCUCACCAGAAGACGUCAUUCACACUGAAAUGCAACCUCAAUCUUUCUUUAAUGAAAAGGUUUUUUUUUUUUUUUUUAAAUUAAUUUUAUUUUCAAUAGUUAAUUUCUUCUUUCGUUGAGUCUUCAAAUUUAAUUAAUAUCCAUCUCUAAUUGCAUUGAAUUUUUAACUUCAGGUACGACUCCCAAGUCUGGAGGUAUUACAUAUUAGUGAGGCGGAUAAGUUGAGAAAAAUAUGGCACCACCAGCUUGCUUCGAAGUCUUUUAGCAAAUUGAAAAAAUUGGAGAUAUCUUGGUGUAAUAAUCUAUUGAAUAUUUUUUCUCCAUUGGUAAGAUUGCUAUAUUCAUUUUGAAUUUUUAUUUCAAAUAACAUUCAACAAUUAUUUUAAUCAUUUUUGUGUUUACAAAUAAUUUUCAUUCACAAAUUAUUUAUUGCAAGUAUUGUACUUCAAACUUCUGGAGGGAAAAAAAGUAGUGUACUUCAAAUCACCAUUCUGAACUCUGCAUUUUCAAUCUAAUUUAUAGGUUCACCUGCAUUAAAGUCAACAAUAUAAUUGUUUUAAACACGAUUUAACAGCAUAAUAUAAUUCAAUUUAAUUUUUUUUUCUUAAAUCGUAAUAAAUAAGAUUUUCAGAAAUUAAAAGAUACUUAGUUACUCAGCUUUUAAGUUCACAAAUUCAUAUAUAUUUCUCUUGUCCUUGGGUCUUUAGAUUUCGAUUUUAAAAAAAAUAAAGAAAAGUGUUCAAAUGUAGUUAGUAUCUCUAGUUUAGUUAUGAAUUGAUUACGCCAUUGAUUAAGCACAAAUUCAUGAUGGUCAUUUUGAAUCGACCGUUGAUUAAAAAAAUUCCUCAAAUAUUCACUCUAUAACAAUCCCAUGUUGAUGGCGUUGGGAAGUGUUUUCCAGAAAUGUUUUCCAUUUUUAAAAGCAUGAAUAUCGGGAAAAAAAAAAAAAAAGAGAAAUACAACGUUUUAGUUUAGUUAUUUUAAAAAUAGGCAUGUUUGAAAAUUAAAAAUUUUUAAAAACUAGCAUCAAGAUGAAAAAUGAAUUUAUAAUAUUUAAAAAUUACCUGAAAUUCUUUCUCCGUUCCUAAUACUAAAUAGUGUAAAUGCAUUUUCAUUAUCUUUGUUUUUCUGGACUUCUAUUUAUUUAUUUAUUUUUGUUUUAAUUUUUUCCUUUUUUUCUUUAACAAAAAAUAUCUAGUAGACAUUCAUGAUUUGUUAUUUUUCAUAAAACAAUUGUAUGAUUUUGACAUACUUUGAAUCUAGUUGAAUGCUACUCUUUAUUUUAAGGUUGGAAUUCCUAGUAGCCUGGUGAAUCUUGAUGUAUCAUACUGUGAAAAAAUAGAAGAAAUCAUAGGACAUGUUGGAGAAGAAGCGAAGGAGAAUCGUAUUGCUUUCAACGAAUUAAAACUUUUGGUACUUGAUCAUUUACCAAGGCUUACCAGCUUUUGUUUGGAGGAUUACACUCUUGAAUUCCCAUCAUUGGAACGAGUUUCUAUGACAUGUUACCCGAACAUGAAGACUUUUUCUCAGGGAAUCGUAUCCACACCAAAGCUGCACGAAGUGCAGGUGAGUAAAAAGGAAGUAUUAAGUUUUAUAUGAAACUGUGAUGUUGUUUGGUUACUAAGAAAAUAGGAAGAAAGAAAACUUCUGUAAGCUGAGAAUUCUGUUAUUAUUGAUCUAAUGAAUCUGGAAAUUACAAGCCUUUUUAUAUGUGCAUAGAAGAUUCUACACACAUUGCACACACGCACAGUUUACUACUAACAACCUCUAUAACAACCUUUAGCUGACUCAGCUGCCAUGUCAGCAUACUCAUUAACUAACUAAUUCUAUUCUUAACAGGAAGAGGGUGAAUUGCGCCGUUGGGAAGGCAACCUUAAUUCCACUAUACAAAAGUGUUACGAAGAAAUGGUAUGUGUUAAAUCGAUUCGUCGAAAUUACUUAUGCAUCUCCCUUGCACUUGCACAUUUGAACAUAUAAGUUUAAUGUAUAUAUAUAUCUAAUGCCUUUCAAGAAAAAAAUUUAUAUAUAUCCAGUGCAAUUGUUUUGGUUUGUGCAGAUUGGAUUUCGUGACAUACAGGAUUUGCAACUCUCACAUUUUCCACGUUUGAAAGAAAUAUGGCAUGGCCAAGCACUGCCUGUCAGCUUCUUCAACAAUUUAGUACGACUGGUGGUGGAUGACUGCACGAAUAUGUCGAGUGCUAUUCCUGCCAAUCUGCUACGGUGCUUGAACAAUUUGGAAUACCUGGCAGUGACGAAUUGUGAUUCACUAGAAGAGGUGCUUCAUUUGGAAGAGCUAAAUGCUGACAAAGAACAUAUAGGUCCCCUGUUUCCUAGGCUUUACAGUCUAAGGCUCACUGAUCUUCCAAAACUCAAAAGAUUCUGCAACUUCAUUGGGAAUAUAAUUGAAAUGCCUGAGUUGGAGAAUCUAACUAUUGAGAAUUGCCCUGAUAUGGAAACAUUCAUAUCCAACUCUGUAGUGCACGUGACAAUAGAUAACAAGGAACCUCAAAAAUUAACAUCAGAAGAGAACUUCUUGCUGGCUCAUCAAGUACAACCUCUCUUCGAUGAAAAG
rnacentral:lncRNA from 1 species